CACCUGUGGUGUUAGUGGACGUGAGGACCAAUUGUUAGUCCACAUAUUUACCUACGUGGUAAUGCAUGGGUGUGUCUACGGAGGGGAGGCUUAAUUUGAUUAUGCUUAUUCGUAGAAUUCGACUUUAUCAGAGCGGCACCUUUGUGUUACUUCUAAACGUAUGGUGUUGCUAUGUUCCAACCCUUUGGUUCAUUAGUUGUAUUCGGACGCCCUCUUGGUUCCUCACGACCACCCUUUUUCUUCAAGAUUAGGAUUAAGUUCUACAUGAGUUUGUUUUUAACUAUUUUUUCAACACACUAUUUUCCGAAACACUUCUUUAGAUUUUUGAAUUUGUUUUAAAUUUGUUUUAAUUUUGAUUUAAAUUUGUUUUUAAUUUGUUUCUAAUUUGUUUUUAAUUUGUUUUUAAUUUGUUUUAUUAUUUAAAAAUAAAUAAUUUGUUUUCUUCUUCAACAACUGGUGUCGUGGUGUAGUUGGUUAUCACGUCAGUCUAACACACUGAAGGUCUCCGGUUCGAGUCCGGGCGACGCCACUUUCCUUUUUCUUCCUCCAUUUUUCUUUUUUCUAAAUAUUUCCAAACAUAGUUUUAUAUUUAUAUUUUUAUCAUAUCUAUCGAAGGAAAACAAAACCAUAAAUUCCACGUGGAUGAGAACCGCGACAAAUGCGGACCGGAAAAGGUGGAGCCCACUAACUUUUUCAAGAAGCUUCCAGAGAGAAAACGGAACGGAACGGAGCGGAAUCCCUCGAAAUAAAAAUGAAAAUCCAACGGAAGAAAGCCAAUACGGUGUCAUCAUCGCAUCAGUUGCUCGAUUCCUAUUGGCUCAUUCCUCCUUCGCUGUUCCACGUCAUCGCUUCUCUAAAUUCCUCCAAUUUCUCCAUUCUCUAUAUUUAAUUUCAUUCUCAAUCAACCGACUCUCCCCAUCUCCUUCCUUCCCGCUACAUUCUUUCUCUUUAACAUUUUCUCUCCGUAUUUUUCAUCCAUUUUCAAGAGCUUUCACAAUCCACGACGAAUUGAUCUCUGUUUCUGGUUUUCUUAUGGCUGCUCUUCCCAGAUUUUUUCUCUCCACCCUUUUCUUGCUUCUGGUUCUUCGUCCUUCCUAUGGAGCUCUCCAUUCUUCCCCUCAUCUCAACCCCACCAACCCCAAAUCCGUUUCUGUCAGUAAUUCUUUCUCUCAUCAAUCAUCGUUUGUUUGUUUGUUUUUUUUUUUUAAUUAUUUUUAUUUUUAUUUUUAUUUUGUGGGGUUUUGAGAUUUUGAUAUGUUUUUCUGUUUUGAUUGAAGUUUUUGUUGGGUUUUUGUUUUUGAAGGAUUUGGUUUUGUUGUUUUGGUGUCUCGUUUUGUAUUCUUUGAUGGGUCUGGCUAUUUGAUGCUUAGUUUGCAACUUUUGAGGAUUUUUUUGGUGUUUGAUUGGGUUUGUUCUUGUUAUAUUUUAAAGGAUUUGAUAAUUUGUUUCUUCGUAGGUUUCUGAUUUGAUGCUUAAUCUGUGGGGUUUUGAUCAUUUUCUGCUCACAUUGUGUUGUUUGAUUGUUUCUCUAACCAGCCAGUUGGGAUUUUAAGGAUUUGAUUAUUUUAUUUUGUUUUUGUAAAUGUUUGAUUCCUCAUGCUUUAAUUUGUGGAUUUUAGGGGUUUUGUUAGUUUUUCCUGCUUAGAUUUUGGUGCUUUUAUUGAUGGGCUGGGUUUGUUGGCUUUUUGAUGAAUUGAUAAUGGUUUUCUAAAUCUCUGAUUAUUGAUGCUUAAUUUUGAUACUAACAUUGUGGCGUUUUUAUUGUUUUCUUUGGACAGUCGAUUGAAACUAUGGUAGAUGGGUUUACAAAGGAUUUAAAAGAGAUGAUUAAGAAGGGAUUAGGGUUUAGGGGCGACGAUUUCAAGGUCUCAGGAGUUGAUUUCAAAGAUGCAAGGGCUGGGAAUUCGGUUGCUUAUGAGUUUGAGUUGGAGAUUGAUAACCAAGUUUUUCCAUUGAAGUUUUUGGAAAAUGCCCAACAAUGGGACUAUGUGGAUUUGCCUAUUUUUCAGAUUCAAGAGCAGUCUCAAGACGAAGAUAAAAAUUUGUUGGCCCAGAAACGUAAUCUGGGCUCUGAUUUACCUGUUUUGGCUCCCUUUCAGCUCGCCGGUCCGAUGGAGCUCUGGAUUCAGGAUGCUGAUGGCAUGAGGGUCUCAUUGCCAGUGAGUAUCUUUUUAUUGCUUUUGAUUUGGUUCAUUAUAAGUUUCUACUGACUUGAUAGACUGCUGCAAUUUGUGCUUUUGGGGGUUUAAUGGUUGAUGAUGAUACCCAUUGGAUUAGAAUUUGUCUUCUAUUUUGUUUAUCUGCGUAUGUAUCUUGAUGAAGGCUUUAGGUUUGGAAGUUCUGGUUUGAAAAUGUAGGUGGUUUACUAUAGUUUAGUCUAGUUUUUCAUGUUUAUUGACUCCACUUUUGAAAGUUCUGCUUUAGACUUAACUUUGCAUAAAAAGAUCAUCGCUGUUACUGAUUUGAUGACAAAAAUAGGUAGCCUUUUGUUCAUUGGCUUGAUCCAUUGACACACUAAUAUGAAAAAUUGUUUGAAGCCAUAUGGAUUAGAUGUUGUCUUGAACCUUAAUUAAAAGAUGUUAACGUACGUGCAAGUUAAUUUGAAACGUACCAAAACUAGCGCAACAGUAUUUGCUAUGCAUUCCUUCCUUGAGGUUGGAGUUUCAAAUCUCCACAUCUCACUUAUCGUACUGAAGGAAAAAAAAAGAAUUUCUUUUCGGACAGGUGUUAAAAUUAACUUUUAGUACUUUACAUGAUCUUUUAAACUUCAAGGACAUAGUUAUACAACCUACCUCUUGUUCAAGUAAUGUCGUUUCUAUUUGUACUAGUUAUACAACCUACCUCUUGUUCAAGUAAUGUUGUUUCUAUUUGUACUAGUUAUACAACCUACCUCUUGUUCAAGUAAUGUCGUUUCUAUUUGUACUAGUUAUACAACCUACCUCUUGUUCAAGUAAUGUCGUUUCUAUUUGUACUAUGGAUGUUAAUUCAUAUAUCUUUGUAAUACAUAAACUCUGCUGCCUUCUUGUGCCCUUUUGAAUGUAAUUGUACAUAUAGCAAGCAUGAAAGGCUAUUUUCUAAGCUGUUGCUUUGUUUGCCACUGAAUUUGCAGCACGAUGUAGAUGCUGGUGUCUUGAGAAAGGUUGUUCUGGCAGAUGGAGCAGUUGUUACUGUAACUGGUGCUAGAUCUGUUAGCCUUCGUCAACCGCUCGAUCUUCCUCUCCCUCUCAAUCGAACAACCCCUGGUUUCGCUACGGGUCUGGUAGCCUUAGCCGAACAACUCCGCCACACAUCUCGAUCUCAAUCAACCCCACUCCUUUCUCUUCGCAUAGUUGGUCCUACCUCCCUCACUUCAUCUCCUAGCUCCACCAACAAGCUCAAGCUCAAGCGCCUAGCCCCUGGCCUAGUCGAACUCUCAUCCCCCAUCCAAGCCAUCCAGUCUCCUUCCCCAGUCCAUCUUCAACCCAAUGCCCCAACCAUUCUAACACCAAAGGCAUUCACAACACUGUGGCCAAUCACCUCCAUCAACGGCUCGAACUCGAAAUUAGUUGGUUUCGAGACACUUCUGACAUCUCUUCUCGGCCCGAAAGCAAAUGGAAAGGGCUCAUUCAAGCUGUUAAAGGCCAAUGUCUCCGCUCAAACAACUGUGAGGAUUGGUUUUGGUGUUGACAAGAAGUUGGAAGAAGGAGAUGGGAUCGACAUGGAGGGAUUUCCUGAAUGGAGGACUAAACCUGAGGCUGUGAGGUUGCAUUUCGAGGUUCUGGCAACGCUCGAUGGUGAACGGAUCAUACCAGAGAGGGUAAUGCAGGUUAAGCCAGUGAUAGUUGAGGACACGGUUGCACCUAAUGUGCUACUUGGGAACGUGAGUAUGUCAAAAACUCCUAUUGUUUAUACCCCAUCUGAUCCUUUCACCCUGUAGUUGGUAUCUGCAUGUUUUGGUUGUCUUUUGGGGUCAGUGCCCUUUUAUGGUUAAAAGUGUAAAAAAUAUAUAUUGAGUGAAUAUAGAGAGAAGUUGAGUACUGUAAGAACUACUGAUAUUCAAAGUUUCUCUACAAAAUUUUAUUUUAUUAUUUCUUUUUAGGUUAUUUGUUUUCUUUUUUUCAAAGGUUGAUGGUUUUUGUACAACUCUUUUUUAUGUGACUUAACUUAAUGCAAUUGAAAUACAUUUUUACUAUGAAAAGAUAUUCAGACACAGUGGAAUCUUAUAUUAUAACAUUAUACAAACACACAAACGUUUUAAGUUCAAUACCAUACCAUAGGUCUAAAUUAGUACAUGACAGAGUUCAUUAUCGUUAUCUUAUUCAUAGACCCGUCAAUUGGAAUAUAAUAAUAUAAAGAUUUUACAUGGUGAUCUUCUUCUUACGAUCAUUAGCAAGUUGUUUGAGUGGUUCCAUUUGAAUGAUUGAGUUUGGUAAUUUUUGUGCGACCAUAAUAUGAAAGAGACCCAUAACUCCAAUGUGAGUUUGAGAAGGAUGAUAUUUGGAUAUCAGAGUUAACAUUUCUUUAUUGUUGAGUUUGACUGAGCCUGGCUUUGGAUAACAAGUUGACAUCCCAACCACAUAACCCUUCUCAUUCCCUAUUUCACUUCCAUUUCCAUAUAUGGGAGAUGAAGAACAUAACUCUCUUCCAUCCUAAUAAAUGCAUAAUGAUAGACAUAUUAUACACAUAUUUAAGAAAACUUCAAUUACAUAUAAUUCCGAUCAUACAUACAUAAGAAAGAUUUCAAUUUAGAUUGUUUUUACCUAUAAGUAGAGGCUUGAAAAAGUAUUUAUAAUUAAACAGAUUUUCAUGGCACAGUUUAGUAAACAUUUUGUUUCUGGUUUUUGAUUUUUGAAAAUUUAGCUUUAUUUUCUCUUAAUGCUCUUAGUAUCUUUCUUAAGUACAUAUUUAAAAGUUAUUUGACACGAAAUUGAAAGUUCAACUACAUUAAAGUUUCAAAAAAAUAUGUAAUUUAAUUUUAUAAGAAAUGAAGAGACCAAUUAUUAAGUGAAGAAAAAAAUACCUGUCCAUAAAGCACUGAACCAAGACCACCAACAUGGAGAUGAGCCAUUCCAUAUAUGAUAUAGCCACUACUUGGAGACAAUAGCCUCACCAUUUUUGUAGCAUUACAUUCAUCACCAACCUUGUUUGUGGAGCAAGUCCCUCUUACAUUAUACUCCACCUGUACACAAACCAUCAAAUGAUAUACAUGUAUAUAUAUAGCAAAUUAUGGAAGUAGUUUGACUUACAAGACAAUUAUGUUGUUGUGGAGCUCCUGUUGAGUCCAUCAAUGGCUUCCAAGUAUCUGUGAUAUCAAAAAUGUAAACCUUAAGAGGAAUAACAAGAUCAUCAUCCCAAUCCACCCACUUGACUGUAUAUCUAGCAUACAAGUUCCUUUGUUGAUCAUCUCCUAAUUCAUUAUCAUACCCUUUUUUCACUUUACAUUGGGUCUGAUCAUAACAACAUCUUAAACCUCCAAUAUAAUCAUCUUCCAAAGCCAUUCCCAACCCAUCUUUUGUAACAUUAUACAAAUGACGUUUGCAUUCAAUACAUCCAAUUCUAUCUUCAACACCUCUUGUAUCAAUGGCAUGAAUAUUAAGAACCCAUUUCUCUUCAUACCCUAAAGGGACUUCCUUUUCAUUACCAACUUCUAUUCCAUAUGGGUGUGGAAGAAAUGAGGAUGUUUUUCUUGAAUCUGCCCCUGUCCCAAAGAAUUGUGGAAGUGCAUGUUUUUGACAUACUCCACUGUUUCCUGCUAUUAUGAAAUUUGGUUCUUGGAGUUGAGUGAAGGAAGUGUUGAUGUGUGGAUCUUUUGUGUCUUUGCGUUGGUAAUACCUGUUGUUGUUGCACAAAAAUAUGUUAUUUUAGAUCGGUAAAAAUAUAAAUGUUUCUCAAAUAAUCAAUUAAACAUGUAUAUACUCACUACUAAUAUCACUGCUAAUACAGUCAAUCUAAACUCGUAUACUUCAUAACUAACUCCAUUUCAAACAAAUUAUUUAAUACUCCGCAUUGCAAGCAAACUUCCUGAAUUAGUGAGGUAAAAUACUCUUAAUUAGACACCAAAAACGUAUAGAUCAUUUGACUUGACUCAGAUUAUAAUAACAACAAAAACUAUUACGACUAACUUAUUCUCUGGAAAAUCUUAUUACAAUAAUGUUAUUCAUAAAAGAGAUGUGCCUGAUCAACAGUAAUGAGUUAUGUUAAGAAAUAUUCGAUUGCCUAGAAAAGAGAGAGAGAAAUGGUAUAGACAGUAAAUAAAACAAUAAGAGUAAUAAUAGUACCUUAGAAUUCCCCAAUGGUGAAGAUAAGUUUCAAAGAGAGGGAUGGGAUUGUCUUCUUCAUCUACGACUUCAACAUCAAAACUUUUGAUAGCAAUAUGGCCUUCGGGAAAGUUGGUAUUAUAGAAGAAUCUCUCCACUACAUGGCCAGGUUUUAAAGUGAAGAAUGGAGUCAUAUAAGUCUUUGUUUUUAUGACUUGAUGAUCGUUCUUGUUGUUUAUUACAACCCCUUCCAAAUAUGGUAUCAUAAUUCCUAUGGAAGAGAGCAGUAGCAACCACCGAAAACAUUGGUGAUGCUUCAACAUUUUUCUUUGUUUGAUUCUGCAAAAAAAAUAUGAACCGUAAUACGGUUUAAAUAAUCGAAAAAAAGAUGAACAAAUAUUCAGUGACGUGACAGAUUUUGAGUGAGAGUAUAGUUGGUAUUACUGUAUAAUAUAAAUGGAAUGAUGAUAUAAUGAUAAUAUUGGGAGUAGGGAAUAAAGGAAGUGGGUGGAAAAGAGAGAUUUUCUUAACAUAAGAAUAUGGUUAUAAUUUCUCUGCCUAUUUUUAUAAUCUAAAUUGUCACCUAAUUCUUUUUAAAUUAAUUAAGGGACAAAACUCACCUAAUUUAAUUUAAAGUACUAAAUUAAAAUAUUUUCUAGAUUUGGAUGCUAGCUUUUGAAAUAUAAGAGAUUUUUAGCAUCUCAUCAAAAUCACUAAUUACACACUUUUAAUGACUAACAAAAAAAGCGCGUAAAGUUUUGACUUCUAGGGUACGAUCUUGAAAAUUUUGAAAGUAAAAAAACCAUGAUCUUAUUUUGUUGAGGCAAGAUUUACAACACCCAAAAAUCCUUUUCAUGUAAUUAGAUCAAAGCAUACCGAAUCACAACAUUAUUAUACUAAUAUACUUUGAAUUAGGUAAAAACGAAUUAGGUAAAAAGGUCUAAUUCUUAAGACACCAUUAAAAAGUGAAUUUUGAAUGAGUUGAUGCUCCAAAUCACUCACUCUCAAACUUUCUUCGAUCAUCUCAUGCUCACACUCUAAAAACCAAAUGAUCGAAACAAUAUAUAUAGUUUUCAAACUUUUUAAAACAACAAUUUAACUAAUUCUUAAAACAACAGUGAAUUGUGAAUAGUAAGCUCUACGGUCGACUAAAUGUGAACGUUAAUAAAAAGAGUAUUCUCAACAGUGAAAAAAAAGACUUCUUAGUAUCAACAAAUGGUAUAUAUGUAUAUGCUUCAUUAAUAUUGGAUAAUCAUGCCUCUAACCUAUAACACAUAUGUAACUCAAAAUCAUGUCUACAUCAAUAUUAACAUAUUGAUGGAUAGAAGAUGAAUUAAGAAAUUACUAACCGUAGAGAUUCUUGAAGAAGAGAGGAAGAAGAAGAAGAAGAACAAGACGGAUGCAAAUAAUAGAAAGAGCUUUUGAUUUGAUUGGCAAUGGCGGAUUUGAUUAUUUCUCAAUCUAUAUUUUAUCGAUGGCUUAGCUGGAAGACCAUUUAACAUAAACUUAGCUUUUUUAAAAGAUCCAAAAUAUAAUUAUUAUUAAUGCUAAAAAUAAUGUCAUAAUAAAGACAUUAAACAACAAGAUUAUAUUAUUCUAAUAAUUAAUUAUAUGUUAAAAAAGUUCUCAAACAUUUUGGUGUUCACUUUGUUGUUUGGUUCUUAUCAUGACUUCUUCUCUUUUUUUUUCUUCUUUUUGGUAUUAUCUAAAAAUAGUUCUAAAAUAAAUAGAAAAAUUUCCAACUUAAUAAUAAAUUAAAAUUAUAAAGUUUGUAGGGAAGACAAAAAAACAAAAACAGCUCAAAACACCAUUUUUUUUAAAUAAAGAAUGCAAUUAAUUAAAAAAAAUCAAAACAAAGAAACAAAAAUGCAGAAAUAUAUAUAAAAUUGAAAAAAAGUAAAACAUAAAUAAUUAAAUUGUUAACUUUUAGUGUAAAAAGUUAAGGAGAAGAUAUAUAUUUCUUUUGGUAAAGGAUCCAGAAAGAUUCACCUAAUUCAUAUACUAAAAGGAUUCAUUAUUUUUAAUAGAUGAUAUAUAUAUAUAUAUUGCACAAGUUGCAUUGCAUUUUUGUAUAUAUAAAUAUUGGUGGACCAAAUCAAAUAGAUUCAAUUAAUUCGGUUCGAUAUUUGAAUAAGUUUUAUCAUAAAAUGAAACUAUCUUCAGCUUAGUUCUACUUUUUAUUUAUACAAAUUAAAUUUUUAAGAAACAAAACUAGAGAACGUGAGUAUGUCUAUUGCUUAUACCUCAUCUGAUCCAUUCACCCUGUAGUUAAUAUCUACAAGUUUUGGUUGUCUUUUGGGAUCAACGCCCUUUUGUAGCCAAAGUGUAAAAAAAUAUAUAUCGAAUGAGUAUAGAGAAGUCGAGUAUGGUAGGAACUACUGAUAUUCAAAGUUUCUCUACAAAAAUUUAUUUUAUUAUUUCUUUUUAGGUUAUUUGUUAAAUUGUUUUCUUUUUUAAAGUUUGGUUGUUUUAGUACAACUCUCUUUUCUAUGUAUCUUAACUUAAUGCAACUGACAUACAUUUUUACUAUGAGAAGAUAUUCAAACACACUGUACAAUCUUAUAUUAUAAUUACAUUAUACAAACACACAAACUUUUAUACCAUAGUGUCAAACUAUAGGUAUAAAUUAGUAGAUGACAGAGUUCAUUAUCGUCAUCUUCUUCAUAGACCCACCAAUUGUAAUAUAAUAAUGUAAAGAUUUUACAUGGUGAUCUUCUUUUUACGAUCAUCAGCAAGUUGUUUGAGUGGUUCCAUUUGAAUGAUUGAGUUUGGUAACUUUUGUGCAACCAUAAUAUGAAAGAAACCCAUAACUCCAAUGUGAGUUUAAGAAGGAUGAUAUUUGGAUAUCAUAGUUAACAUUUCUUUAUUGUUGAUUUUGACAGAGCCUGGCUUUGGAUAACAAGUUGACAUCCCAACCACAUACCCCUUUUCAUUCCCUAUUUCACUUCCAUUUCCAUAUAUGGGAGAUGAAGAACAUAGAUCUCUUCCAUCCUAAUAAAUGUAUAAAUACAUAUAAUUCACAAACUUAAUAAAACUUCUGUCACGUAUAAUUCGGUUAAAUUAUAAAUUUAGUUUUUUACCUUUAGAUUGAAAACUUCAAAAAGUAUCUAUAAUUAAACAAACACUGUGCAGUAAACAUUUUGUUUCUGGUUUUUUGUUUUUAAAAAUUAAACUUAUUUUCUCUAAUUUUUUAAAUUAGUGUAUUUUUUAAGUACAUAUCUAAAGGUUAUUUGACACAAAAUUGAAAUAUAAAAUUAAAAGAUCAACUACGUAUAUUUUUUACACACAUCAAAGUUUAAAAAAUGUGUAAUUUAAUUUUAUAAGGAAUGAAGAGACCAAUUAUUAAGAUAAACAAGAAAAAAAUACCUGUCCAUAAAGCACUGAACCAAGACCACCAACAUGGAGAUGGGCCAUUCCAUAUAUGAUAUAGCCACUACUUGGAGACAAUAACCUCACCAUUUUUGUAGCAUUACAUUCAUCACCAACCUUGUUUGUGGAGCAAGUCCCUCCUACAUUAUACUCCACCUAUACACAAACCAUCAAAUAUUUAAUAUACAUGAUGUGUAUAUAUAUAGCAAAUGGAUAAAUAGUUGACUUACAAGACAAUUAUGUUGUUGAGGAGCUCCUGUUGAGUCCAUCAAUGGCUUCCAAGUGUCUGUGAUAUCAAAAAUAUAAACCUUAAGAGGAAUAACAAGAUCAUCAUCCCAAUCCACCCACUUGACUGUAUAUCUAACAUACAAAUUCCUUUGUUGAUCAUCUCCUAACUUAUUUUCAUACCCUUUUUUCACUUUACAUUGAGUUUGAUCAUAACAACAUCUUAAACCUCCAAUAUAAUCAUCUUCCAAAGCCAUUCCCAACCCAUCUUUUGUAACAUUAUACAAAUGACGUUUACAUUCAAUACAUCCAAUUCUAUCUUCAACGCCUCUUGUAUCAAUGGCAUGAAUAUUAAGAACCCAUUUCUCUUCGUACCCUAAAGGGACUUCCUUUUCAUUACCAACUUCUAUUCCAUAUGGGUGUGGAAGAAAUGAGGAUGUUUUUCUUGACUCUGCACCUGUCCCAAAGAAAUGUGGAAGUGCAUGUUUUUGACAUACUCCAUUGUUUCCUGCUACUAUGAAAUUUGGUUCGUGGAGUUGAGUGAAGGAAGUGUUGAUGUUUGGAUCUUUUGAGUCUUUGUGUUGGUAAUACCUGUUGUUACGUUGCACAAAAAUAUGUUAUUUUAGAUCAGGAAUAUAUAAUAUAAAUGUUUCUCACUCUACUAAUAUCGAUCACUACUAAAUAUAGUCAACCUAAACUAUUACAACUAACUUAUUCUCCUGAUAAUCGUCAGUAAAAUACUGUUAUUCAUAAAGAAGAUGUGUCUGAUAUCAACUGUAAUGAGUUAUGUUAAGAAAUGUUGGAUUGCCUAGAGAAGCGAGAGAGAGAUAAAUUGUAACGAUAAUAGUACCUUGUUAUUCCCCAAUGGUGAAGAUAAGUUUCAAAGAGAGGGAUGGGAUUGUCUUCUUCAUCUACGACUUCAAUAUCAAAACUUUUGAUAGCAAUAUGACCUUUGGGAAAGUUGGUAUUAUAGAAGAAUCUCUCCACUACAUGGCCAGGUUUUAAAGUGAAGAAUGGAGUCAUAUAAGUCUUUGUUCUUAUGACUUGCUGAUCGUUCUUCUUGUUUAUUACAACCCCUUCCAAAUAUGGUAUCAUAAUUCCUAUGGAAGAGAGUAGUAGCAACCACCAAAAACAAUGGUGAUGCUUCAACAUUUUGCUAUUUGUUUUUGAUUAUGUGAAAAAGAAUUGAAUCGUAAUACGGUUUAAAUAACCAAAGAAGAAAAAGGGACAAAUAUUUAGUGAUGUGACAGAUUUUGAAUGAGAUUAUUUGAAUUUGCUAUAAAUGGAAUGAUGAUAAUGACAAUUGUGGGGGUAGGAAAUAAAGGAAGUGGGUGUGGAAAAGAUAGAAUUUUUUCUUUAAAAAAAUAAGAAUAUGAUUAUUCGAUACAAAUUUUGAAUUGAAUGACAAAAACAUUUAGAAAAAACUGGCUCAUGGCACGUAAUUUUUUUGUAUAUGACACAAAAUUAAACGGUAAUCAUAGGGCUAUCGAAAGACCAUCCGACAGUAAUUAUCGUGUUGUCGACUUUUAAAUUUGUUACUUUGUAAUUUAGAAGAUGUAGUGACAUUGACCAUAUCAUCAUUUUUUUUUUCUAUUUGCGCUAGAAACCCUAUUUUUUAUUUUAAUUCUAAAAAUGGAAACCCUCUAUCUACUUUUAUAAUCUAAACUGUCACUUAAUUCUUUUUAAAUUAAUUAAGGCACAUAAAAAGAAAUAGACAUUUUCAACAAUAGUAGAGUAAAUUAAAAUAUUUACUAAAAUUUUGGAUUCUAUCGAUUAUAUAGAAAUUGAUAACUUCUAUAACGGUAGAGAUAUCAAUGUUUAUUAUUUAUAGAAUCUUAAAUUUUACGAGUUAUUAUUUUUUUUAUAAUUUUUGAUAAUUUUGAAAUCUAGAGAUUACGUUUGAAAUGAUGUAGCUAUUAAAAAGGUUACUUUUCUAUUAGAAUAUAGUAAAACAUCACUAUCCAAUCGUGAUAGACAAAAUUGAUGAACUCGGUUGGAUGCUUCGUGUCCCAAAAUUGAACUUCAUAGACGAAAAAGAUGAAUAUUUAAUUAAAAAAGAAAAUUAAGAAACAAAUAACAUUUUAAAAAAACAAAACACAAAAUGAAUAAAAGAAGAUAAAUUAAAACUCAUACCUCAUAUAAGAUAGAUGAACGAAUGUUGAUUUUGAGAUGAAAUUCUAUACUAUAAUUAAAAUAGUGGAGACAAAGCAGGGGUGGACAAGUGUGUGCAAGGGGAGGCCUUCGAAUUGGUGAAGAUAAGGAGCAAUUUUGUUGAGAGUGACGGGGAGGGCCAUGGAGACUCAUUGUCAUGGGGUGGAGAGUGAUAGAUUUUUUUUUGCUUUGGGGGCCAUUGAACUUGUGGUCAUGGAGAGGAGAGUGAUAGAUUUCUUUUAGUUUGAGGAUGAGAUUCAACCCUUUUUUGGUCACCUAUAAUGAUAAUUCGAGUAAAAGUAUAUUUUUGGUUUCGAUUAAACACUCUAGUCCUUCGAGUUUGUAGAAUAGUUCUAAAUGGUCUUUCAGUUCAUUUUUGUUAGUCGUUCUCUAACACAAAAUUGUGUUUACGGAAUUUAAUUUUAUUAGGUGGUUUUUUAUUUUUCUAUUUCAUUUUUUUUGUUGGGUAUGUUUUUCCUUUCACUCUCCCUUUUUCCUACCUUUUAUCUCUUUUCCAUUUCUCUCGUAGUCUCCCUUUCUCCUUUCUCGCAACUCACUUUGAACUGUCCCGAGGACGUGACAUCUCCAUCAAUAAGAAUUUUGUUCAAGCACUCAUUUACGAGGUGGGAAAUAGAUUUAAAUAUGGACAAAGACAUUCCUUUUAGCUUCUCCAUCCUUACUUUUGGUCUCCCUGGUCUUUGGAAAAAACGUUAAGAAAUUGUAUGAAAAGACGGAGUGGACCAAUUUUAAGCUUUCUUUACAUUUUAGAUAGGGAAAUUGCAAUUGAUGACUAUUUUAGCAAUAAUAAUUAAGGAUAUAGCAACAUUUUAAAAAAAUUGCAAAUAUAGCAAAACUAUCACUGAUAGACUUGUAUCACUGAUAGACUUCAUAUGAUAUAUUAGUGAUUGACCAAUAUUUGCAACAUGGUCUAUCAGUGAUAGACUUAUAUCAUUGAUAGAAUUUGACAAAUUUUGCUAUAUUUGCAAAAUUUUUAAAAUUGUGUUAUAUACUUAAUUAAUUUGAAUUUAAUUGCUAAAUUUGCAACUAUCUCGUUAAGAUUUUUUUAUAAAAAGACGCAGGUGAGGUGAAUUUUCGGAAAGUUUUUCACUAUGGAACUUUUCUUGAUGUUUAAAAAACGUUAAGAGCUAUGUACUUUUACUUGACGUUUUUAAAAUGUCAAGUAAUAUCCCUUCAAAUGAUUGUUUACUUAUUAUACGAUCUGCUAACUUUCCAUACAAUAAUUUAAUUUCAUACUCUACAAAAUACUCGUAAACUUACUUUUAUUAAAUAAAUAUUCAAUCUCCAACCUGAUAUCCAACCUAACAAAAAAAAAAAAACCAAAAUUUUCAACUCAACUCAUAUUUUUAAACUAACACAACCUAACUUAUAUAAUAUGAGAUGGGAAGGUUGUCGGGUUAUUCGAGUUGGACCUAAACUCGUACUUGCAACUCUUUUGUUCACCCUGUCUCCAUCUCUCUCGACUUCUCUUUCAAUCUUCGUCUUCGACUCUCUCGCCGAAUUGCAGGCGCAAGAAUAAACCCUUCUCCGAAUUGGGUUUGUAUAGCCCAUGAGGGAAGGGUUUCACGUUUGUUUCUCACCCUUUGCUUUGUUCCUCAUGACGAGGUUUUGUUUUACAACAUUCCUCAUAUGAAAAUUCCAUUCACCACUGGCUCAUGGCUUCUUCUUCAAUCUUCUUCUCCUCGUUCUGUUCUGUUCUUAUUCUUCUCCUUUGUGGCUUUCAUUCUCCAGGGUUUCAACCGAUUUAGUUAGUAAUAUUAUCCUUUUUAAUUAUAUUUUUCUGUUUUGAUUAUGAUGAUCAUUUUGACCUCAAAUAUUUUUGUAGGGUUUUUAAUUGUAGCUUUUGGUGAAGUAGGAUUGAAGUUUUUAACCAUGAUGACAAUGGCCAUUGAAGAUGAAGAUUCUAUGGCUCUUUUACCAUUUGGAGGAUCAGGCUUUAGUGUUGGAAGCUUCAUGAUCCGACUUCCUCAAUGCAGUGGCCCUCAUCGGCCAAGUAACUCUUUCCAACUUCAUCUUAGAUUAUAACAUUUGAUACUAAAAUGUCAAUAUGGGCGUUUCUCUAUUAGGGAAUAGUAACGUUUUAUGCAUAUCUCCUGGCAUCAAGAUCAGUGUUUCUUCAUUAACUAAAUUAUAAGAACUACAGCUACAAUACAAGGACAAAAAAUAUUACUAAUUCUUAGGUUACAAAUAUAUUUAAUAUUUUGCAAUAUACUAUGUAUAUAUGUAUAUAGAUUCAUUUGUUUCAAUUUUCUAAUAUAUAUGUAAAAGACUUAUCAAAUAUUUAUAUUAUUUGACACAAACAUCAAAGUUUUGAUUUGUUACAUUUGUUACCGUUUGUAUGCAAUGCAUACAAUUUGAAAUAGUUUGUAUCCAAGAAUUUGUUAUAGCCUAUAUAAUUAAUUCUUUUCAUCCAUGGCGAUGAAAAAAACAAAUGUGAAUAAUAAACUCACAGUCAAUCCAAAUGUGAAUGUCAACAAAAAGAGUAUUUCUCGAUGGUAUAAAAAAAUGACUUUUAAUUAGUAUGAACAAAUGGUAUGCAUAGUUUAUUAAUCCUCUAAUCUCUAAUAACCUCAAACACAUGCAUGAAACUCAAAAUCAUGUCUAUAUUAUAUAUUAACACAUUGAUAGAUAGAUAUAUACUUAGAUGAAUUAACAAAUUACUAACUGUAGAGAUUCUGAAGAAAGAGGAAGUAGAAGUAGCAGAAGAAGAAAGAAAAAGAAGGAGGAGGAUGCAAAGAUAGAAAGAGCUUUGAAUUGAUUGGCAAUGGAGGAUUUGGCUUCAAUCUAUAUUAUAUUAUAUUAUUAUAUAUCAUUUAUGGCUUAGAUGGAAAACCAUUUAACAAAAACUUAGCCUUUUUAAAAGUUCCAAAAUAAUAAUUGUUAAUGCUAAAAAUAAUGUCAUAAUAGAAACAUUAAACAUCAAGAUAAUUACAUUAUAAUUGAAAAAAAAGUAAGACAUAAAUAAUCAAAUUGUUGACUUUUAGUGUAAAAAGUUAAGGAGAAGAUAUAUAUUUCUUUUGGUAAAGGAUCCAUAAGGAUUCACCUAAUUCAUAUACUAAAAGGAUUCAUUAUUAUUAAUGGAUGAUAUAUAUAUAUAUUGCACAAGUUGCACCAAACCAAAUAGAUUCAGUUUUGUUCGAUAUUUGAAUAAGUUUUACCAUAAAAUGAGACUAUCUUCAGCUUAAUUUUAUUUCUGAUUUAUUCAAAUUAAAUUUUUAAGAAACAAAACUAAGGAACGUGAGUAUGUCAAAAACUCCUAUUGUUUAUACCUCAUCUGAUCCAUUCACCCUGUAGUUAGUAUCUGUAGGUUUUGUUAUCGUUUGGGGUCAGUACCCUUUUGUGGUUAAAAUGUAAAAAUUAUAUAUUAAAUGAAUAUAGAGAGAAGUCGAGUACUAUAAGAACUACUGAUGAUAUCCAAAGUUUCUCUACGAAAUUUUAUUUUAUUAGUUUUCUUUAGGCUAUUUGUUAAAUUACUUUUGAAUUAUUUUCUUUGAAAGGUUGGUGGUAUUUCUACAACAACGUAACUCUCUUUUCUAUGUGUCUUAACUUAAUGCUAAAUACAUUUUUACUAUGAGAAGAUAUUAAACAUAUUGUACAAUCUUAUAUUAUAACAUUAUACAAACACACAAACUUUUAUGCCAUAGUAUCAUUCAAGUUCAGUACUCUUAGACUUAUAACAAAACCAAACCAUAGGUCUAAAUUAGUAGAUGACAGAGUUCAUUAUCGUCAUCUUCUUCAUAGACCCACCAAUUGUAAUAUAAUAAUGUAAAGAUUUUACAUGAUGAUCUUCUUCUUACGAUCAUCAGCAAGUUGUUUGAGUGGUUCCAUUUGAAUGAUUGAGUUUGGUAACUUUUGUGCAACCAUAAUAUGAAAGAAACCCAUAACUCCAAUGUGAGUUUGAGAAGGAUGAUAUUUGGAUAUCAGAGUUAACAUUUCUUUAUUGUUGAUUUUGACAGAGCCUGGCUUUGGAUAACAAGUUGACAUCUCAACCACAUACCCCUUUUCAUUCCCUAUUUCACUUCCAUUUUCCAUAUAUGGGAGAUGAAGAACAUAGAUCUCUUCCAUCCUAAUAAAUGCAUAAAUACAUAUUAUUCACAAAUUUAAUAAAACUUGGUUAAAUUAUAAGUUUGGUUUCUUUACUUCUAGACUUUUUUUUUUUUUUUUUUUUUUGCCUAUAAACUGAAUUUUCAAAAAGCAUCUAUAAUUAAACAAAUUUCUAUGACAACAGUGCAGUAAACCUUUCGUUUUUGGUUUUUGGUUUUUGAAAAUUAAGCUUAUUUUCUCUCCAAUAGUUAGUAUGUUUUUUAAAUACAUAUCUAAAAGUUAUUUCAGAAAUAUAAAAUUAAAAGUUCAACUAAGUAUAUUUUUUACCCAUCAAAGUUAAAAAAAUGUGUAAUUUUAAUUUUCUAAGAAAUGAAGAGAACAUUUUUUAAGAUAAAUGAGAAAAAAAUACCUGUCCAUAAAGCACUGAACCAAGACCACCAACAUGGAGAUGAGCCAUUCCAUAUAUGAUAUAGCCACUACUUGGAGACAAUAGCCUCACCAUUUUUGUAGCAUUACAUUCAUCACCAACCUUGUUUGUGGAGCAAGUCCCUCUUACAUUAUACUCCACCUGUACACAAACCAUCAAAUGAUAUACAUGUAUAUAUAUAGCAAAUUAUGGAAGUAGUUUGACUUACAAGACAAUUAUGUUGUUGUGGAGCUCCUGUUGAGUCCAUCAAUGGCUUCCAAGUAUCUGUGAUAUCAAAAAUGUAAACCUUAAGAGGAAUAACAAGAUCAUCAUCCCAAUCCACCCACUUGGCUGUAUAUCUAGCAUACAAGUUCCUUUGUUGAUCAUCUCCUAAUUCAUUAUCAUACCCUUUUUUCACUUUACAUUGGGUCUGAUCAUAACAACAUCUUAAACCUCCAACAUAAUCAUCUUCCAAAGCCAUUCCCAACCCAUCUUUUGUAACAUUAUACAAAUGACGUUUGCAUUCAAUACAUCCAAUUCUAUCUUCAACACCUCUUGUAUCAAUGGCAUGAAUAUUAAGAACCCAUUUCUCUUCAUACCCUAAAGGGACUUCCUUUUCAUUACCAACUUCUAUUCCAUAUGGGUGUGGAAGAAAUGAGGAUGUUUUUCUUGAAUCUGCCCCUGUCCCAAAGAAUUGUGGAAGUGCAUGUUUUUGACAUACUCCACUGUUUCCUGCUAUUAUGAAAUUUGGUUCUUGGAGUUGAGUGAAGGAAGUGUUGGUGUGUGGAUCUUUUGUGUCUUUGUGUUGGUAAUACCUGUUGUUGUUGCACAAAAAUAUGUUAUUUUAGAUCAGGAAAAAUAUAAAUGUUUCUCAAAUAAUCAAUUAAACAUGUAUAUACUCACUACUAAUAUCACUGCUAAUACAGUCAACCUAAACUCAUAUACUUCAUAACUAACUCCAUUUCAAACAAAUUAUUUAAUACUCCGCAUUGCAAGCAAACUUCCUGAAUUAGUGAGGUAAAAUACUCUUAAUUAGACACCAAAAACGUAUAGAUCAUUUGACUUGACUCAGAUUAUAAUAACAACAAAAACUAUUACGACUAACUUAUUCUCUGGAAAAUCUUAUUACAAUAAUGUUAUUCAUAAAAGAGAUGUGCCUGAUCAACAGUAAUGAGUUAUGUUAAGAAAUAUUCGAUUGCCUAGAAAAGAGAGAGAGAAAUGGUAUAGACAGUAAAUAAAACAAUAAGAGUAAUAAUAGUACCUUAGAAUUCCCCAAUGGUGAAGAUAAGUUUCAAAGAGAGGGAUGGGAUUGUCUUCUUCAUCUACGACUUCAACAUCAAAACUUUUGAUAGCAAUAUGGCCUUCGGGAAAGUUGGUAUUAUAGAAGAAUCUCUCCACUACAUGGCCAGGUUUUAAAGUGAAGAAUGGAGUCAUAUAAGUCUUUGUUUUUAUGACUUGAUGAUCGUUUUUCUUGUUUAUUACAACCCCUUCCAAAUAUGGUAUCAUAAUUCCUAUGGAGAAGAGUAAUAGGAACCACCAUAAACAUUGGUGAUGCUUCAACAUUUCUGCUUUGUUUGAUUCUGCAAAAAAAAAAGUUUGAACCGUAAUACGGUUUAAAUAACCAAAGAAAAAAGAGGGCAAAUGUUUAGUGACAGAUUUUGAAUUAGAUCAGUAUUUGGAAUCACUAUAUAAUAUAAAUGGAAUGAUGAUAUAAUGAUAAUUGGGGGUAGGGAAUAAAGGAAGUGGGUGGAAAAGAGAGAUUUUCUUAACAUAAGAAUAUGGUUAUAAUUUCUAUGCCUACUUUAAUUUAAAGAACUAAAUUAAAAUAUUUUCUAGAUUUGGAUGCUAGCUUUUCAAAAAUAAAAGAUUUUUAGCAUGUCAUCAAAAUCAGUGAUUACACAUUUUUAAUGACUAUCCAAAAAGCGCGUAAAGUUUUGACUACUAGGAUAUGAUCUUAAAAAUUUUGAAAGUAAAAAACUAUGAUCUUAUUUUGUUGAGGCAAGAUUUACAACACCCAAAAAUCCUUUUCAUGUAAUUAGAUCAAAUCAUACCGAAUCACAACGUCAUUAUACUAAUACACUUAUUGAAUUAGGUAAAAAGAUCUAAUUCUUAAGACACUAUUAAAAGUGAAUUUUGAAUGAGUUGAUGCUCCAAAUCACUCACUCUCAAACUUUCUUCCAUCAUCCCAUGCUCACACUCUAAAAACCAAAUGAUCGAAACUAUAUGUAUAGUCUCCAAACUUCUUAAAACAACAAUUUAACUAAUUCUUAAAACAACAGUGAAUUGUGAAUAGUAAGCUCUACGGUCAACCAAAUGUGAACGUUAAUAAAAAGAGUAUUCUCGACAGUAAAAGACUUCUUAGUAUCAACAAAUGGUAUAUAUGUAAGUCUAUUAUCGAUAGACCAUGUUACAAAUAUUGGUCUAUCACUGAUAGUUUUGUUAUAUUUGCAAUUUUUUAAAAAUUUUGCUGUAUCCUUAAUUAUUAUUGUAAUCAAUUGCAAUUUUCCUAUAUUGUAAUCAGAUAUAUUCGCAAAUUUUUCAUUAGAUUAAAAAAAAUUAAAUAUAUAGCAACAUUUUAAAAAAUUUAUAAAUAUAGUAAAAUUUGUUAAAUUCUAUCCAUUAUAGAAAUUUAUCACCGAUAAAUCAUGUUAUAAAUAUUGGUCUAUCACUAAUAGAUCAUACGAGUCUAUCAAAUUUUUUAAAAUGUUAUUAUAUACUUAAUUAUUUUAAACCUAAUUUUCUAAAUUUGUAUUUACAUCAUUUAAAUUUUAAUUUAAACAAUUAUAUGGUUAUUAUAAUUAAUUAAUAAUUGUAAUUAUUUUUAAUGGUUUCAUUUCUCCUCUCUUCACCUUUUCUCCAAAUGAUGUCGCAUCUCAAUCAUCUCUUCUACUUUCGUCUAUCGCGAUUCUAACUUGCGUUCAAUUAUCGAUUAUUGACUUCAAUUCUUCAAAUGUGGUCUAAAAGAUUAUCGAUCCCGAUGUCAUGUAAGAGAACAUUUUUGUUAUAUUCAAACCUAUAUAGUUGAUGAGUAGUAGUAAAUUAAUUUGAUAGACAUGUAUGAGUUUUUUAACCCAAAGAUUUUGAAAAAAAUGAAACUUCAAAAUCCUUUUCACACGUGUGAUAAUGAAUAAAUAAUUAUAUGAAAGAAAGAAGAAGACAAAAUAAUGUUAAAAGUAAUGUGAAAUGAUGAAAUACUUUGUAGAAAGUUUAUAACAAAUAUUUAUUUUCUGACACAUUAUAUUGACUAAGAAAUUAAAAAGAGAAUGAGUGAUGUAAACAUAAGAGAAUCCUUUGUUGUUGUUUGAAUGACUCUUAAAUAAUAAUAACUCUCUCUCCAAUCACUAUCACUAUCACUCUACAAAACUUUAUUCUAAUUUUAUGGCACAUUAUAUUCCUAACUUUCCUACCGACACCCUUCACUUACAAUAAUAUUACCUUUCUUUCCGUCCAAACGUGAAUAUCGACAUUUUAAACUUUAGUACAAGUUAAGUAUACGAUCGUUUGGUAGAUGUGAAAUAAAUAGGAUCAAAGUUCUUACAAAACAUAUAUUUUGCUAUAUAUAAUAGCACUAUUUACAACCUAUUUGUUAAAAUGACAAACUGUCUCUCUUUCUAGUGAUUCUGAUGACUCCAGCCACUAACACCGACUUCAACAAUAAACUACCAUCGAUAAUUGCUACUUCUCCGACAAUCAAUUCAAAUAACCACCUUUAACGACCAGUCUAAAGUCACCUUAUCAUCAACCAUAAUCACCACUUUCGGUGACCAACUCCAAAACGAUCAACUCAAAUAACUCCUGCCAACAAUCAAUCUCAGUAAAGUGACCAAUUAAUUUUGUUGAUCACUAUCGACAACUACUAACUCUAACAACCAACUAACUUGAUGAAUUAUAUACUAAUCAAAAGGAGAGAAAGUCUCAAUCAAUCACAUUUAAUCAUUACAUCCAUAGCUAUUUGAAUCCCACUUCCAAAUUAAGAACAAGUUUAUAACUAAGACAUACAUUCUUCACAAAGGGUUUUGAUUCUCAAAAAAAUCAAAACUUUGUGUUCUAAUAAGGAUAUAUUAAUUCUAUAAGCAAUUUAUUAUUAAUAAAUAUUGAAUCAAAAUAGUUAUUCAUUUAUUUAUUAUAUGUGAAAUCCAUUACUUUUGUGGGGAAAAAAAUAGUUAAAAGACAAAACUACAUUGAACUCUAAAACUAAACAAUAAAUUAGAAAAAGUAAACAAUGAUUUUCACAUGAUUAUCUAUUCAAAUAUUUUGAGUGAAUGAAGUUUUAAUUUUUUUUGGAAGGAUAAGAAAGAAAGAAAAAGAAAAGAAAAGAUUAGGUUUUUGAGUGAAAGAGGUAGGUGUGGCAAUGGGACCUUUUUGUCCAUAAAAACUUUCAACUUUUAAACUUUAAUUUUCUUUUUUCCUUCACUAAAUUUACUUUCUUUUCAUAAAUAAAUAAAUAACUCCUAAUAAUUUAUUAAUAUUUCGAAAAUAAAUUCUUAGAGAAUAUUUUCUUUUAAACUUCUCUACAAACAGUGUGGGAAUAAUUUUUUGAAUGAACCUCUUCUCUUUCACGUCUUUCUUUCUUUUCAAAGAGAGAUUCCUUUUACGUCUCUAAUUUUGGAGCAAAUAAAUCAUUAUUGGAAUCAAACAAAUUCAUUUUCUUUCUUUCUUUUUGAAAGAGGAAAAAGAUAAAGAAUUGGUGCAUAUAUCAAGAGAGAAAUUAAUUAAUAGAAUGAAUAUGAAAAUCAAAUAAGAUGAGAUAAUAAAAAUACAUAGAAAUUUGAGAGGGGAAAAGAAAAAAAGUCCAAAAUGGUGGCUAUAACAUAUUCCAUUUAAUUUUAUGAUUCAAAUAGAAAUAAUAACAAUAAAUUCCAAUUCCCAUUUGACUAAAAACACAAAUUUGUUUCUCUUUUUCACCCCAACAAUGAAGUUCUUGGGGUUGGCCAGCACUGUGUUGCUGGUGAAAGUGAUGAUAUUAUAUGUUCAUUCCAAAACCAAAAAGACUAUUUGGAUUUUGUUCUUAUGCUGGGAAUUGGGCAGUCAAAGCUGGUACCUAACUAAUUUAAUUAAAAAGGCUUCAUUUUUAACUGUAUUUUAAUGAAAUUUUAUAUGAGACUUUAAAAAGAAUGAUUAUGGGAAGAUGUACCUUAAACUUCCUUACUGGUGAAAACAAAAUUCUUCAUGUUACACAUGCAACGAAGCUUCAAACUUUGCGUCUCACAAUUUUCUUCUUCAAUCACUUUUCAACAAUGAAUGUGAUUUCUCUUCUUCAAUUCCCUUUUUUCUUUUUUCUCUCUCUCAUUUCCCACCUCUUUCUUACUCUCCCAUGACUAAUUCACCAUUUUCCUCCGGCCACCGUCCUCUUCUGCUGGCUCACUUCCUCCUCCUUUUUCUCUUCGUUUCUUCAUUUUCCCUCUCCUAUGGUGAUGAACUUCAACCACUUUUAGACCUCAAAUCUGCCUUUUCUUCUUCUUCUUCUUCUUCUUUGGCUUUUAGCUCUUGGAUUAAAGGGAAGGAUGUUUGCAGCAGCUUCCAUGGCAUUGUAUGUAAUUCCAAUGGCUUUGUAGUAGAAAUCAAUCUCCCUGCUCAGAACUUGUCUAGGAUUAUUCCUUUUGAUUCUAUUUGCUCUUUGAAAUCUCUUGAGAAGCUGUCUUUUGGGUUUAAUUUUUUGUAUGGGAAGGUUAGUGAUGGUUUGAGAAACUGUUCUAAGUUGAAGUAUUUGGAUUUGGGUGAGAAUUUCUUUUCUGGUGAAGUACCUGAUUUGUCUUCUUUAGUGGGAUUGAGAUUCCUGAGUUUGAAUAACAGUGGGUUUUCUGGAGAUUUUCCAUGGAAAUCUCUUGUUAAUCUUACUGAUUUGGAGUUCUUGAGCCUUGGAGACAAUACAUUUAACCCAACAACUUCAUUUCCAUUAGCGAUUCUUGAGCUUAAGAACCUUCAUUGGCUUUACCUCUCUAACUGCACCAUUUAUGGUGAAAUCCCAUCUAGGAUUGGGAACUUGUCUUUGCUUGAGAAUCUUGAACUCUCACAAAAUAAACUCACUGGUGAAAUUCCUUAUGAGAUUGUGAACUUGAAGAAUCUAUGGCAGUUGGAGUUACAUGAGAAUUCCUUGACCGGGAAGCUACCAGUCGGGCUCGGUAACCUCACUGGACUAAGGAACUUUGAUGCCUCAUCUAAUAAUCUUGAAGGUGAUUUAAUGGAGUUGAGGUCCCUGACCAAUUUGAAGUCCUUGCAGCUCUUUGAGAAUCGAUUUUCCGGUACGAUCCCAGAGGAGUUUGGGGACUUUAAGGACCUUAUUGAGCUCUCUCUUUACCGAAACAACCUUAUUGGCAGUCUCCCUCAAAGAAUUGGAUCUUGGGCAGCCUUCGUUUUCAUUGACGUUUCAGAGAAUUUCUUGUCUGGACCUAUACCUCCAGACAUGUGCAAGCAGGGCAGAAUGACUGAUCUAUUGAUGCUACAAAACAAUUUCAUUGGUGGAAUCCCAGAAAGCUACACGAAUUGUAAAUCUUUGAAUCGUUUUCGUGUAAAUAAUAACUCUCUUUCGGGUGUUGUUCCUACUGGGAUUUGGAGCCUGCCAAAUCUUAGCAUCAUUGAUCUUUCAAUGAAUCAGUUUGAAGGUCCUGUGACUUCCGAUAUUGGUAAAGCAAAAGCUCUUGCUCAGUUAUUCUUAUCGAAUAACCGGUUUUCGGGUAACUUACCGGCUGAGUUAGGCGAAGCAUCAUCCUUAGUCUCAAUCAAGCUCGAUUCGAACCAAUUUGUUGGUCCAAUACCUGAAUCACUUGGCAAGUUGAAGGACUUAAGCAGCCUUGCUUUGAAUGACAACAAAUUUUCCGGCAAUAUACCUAGCUCACUAGGCUCUUGCACUUCUCUUUCUACCAUAGAUUUAUCUAUGAAUUCAUUCUCCGGGCGUAUUUCAGAGAAUCUUGGUUACUUGCCAAUUCUUAACUCCUUGAAUCUGUCUAGCAAUGAACUUUCAGGUGAAAUUCCAACUAGUUUCUCAAAGUUGAAGCUAAGCAGUUUCGACCUGUCUAAUAACAGGUUAAUUGGCCAAGUACCUGAUUCGCUUGCAAUCCAAGCCUUUGAUGAAAGUUUCAUGGGAAAUCCUGGCUUGUGUAGUGAGUCUAUUAAAUACUUGAGUUCAUGUUCGCCAACCUCUAGAUCAUCCUCCAGCCAUCUCACCUCGUUGUUGUCAUGUACCAUUGCUGGAAUUCUACUGUUGAUUGUGUCCUUCUUGUGUUUGUUGUUUGUGAAAUGGAAACGUAACAAGGAUGGUAAGCAUUUACUGAAUUCCAAAUCAUGGGAUAUGAAGCUAUUUCACAUGGUGCGCUUCACGGAAAAGGAAAUCAUAGAUUCAAUCAAUUCUCACAACUUGAUAGGAAAAGGAGGAUCUGGAAAUGUGUACAAAGUCGUACUAAGUAACGGCAAAGAACUCGCCGUGAAACAUAUAUGGCAGUCGAGCUCUAGAGACCAAGCGAACAGCGGGACUAGUGCAACCAUGUUAACUAAAAGAAAGACCAGGUCAUCCGAAUAUGAUGCAGAAGUAGCUACAUUGAGUUCAGUGAGGCAUAACAACGUGGUGAAAUUAUACUGUAGCAUUUCGAGUGAGGACAGUAACCUGCUGGUCUACGAGUACUUACCGAAUGGAAGUUUAUGGGAUCAGUUGCAUACUAGCAGGAAGAUUGAGAUGGGAUGGCAAAUAAGGUACGCGAUAGCUGUUGGAGCAGCAAGGGGCCUUGAGUAUUUGCAUCAUGGGUGUGACCGACCUGUCAUUCACCGAGAUGUAAAGUCAAGUAAUAUUUUGUUGGAUAGUGAUUGGAAACCUAGGAUUGCAGAUUUCGGGUUAGCAAAGAUUCUGCAGGAUGGCAAUGGCCAUGGGGUUGGAGAUUCAUCUCAUGUCAUUGCUGGGACACUCGGUUAUAUAGCCCCUGGUUAGUUAAAUUGAAUUUACAGAUAAAGAUAAAGUUACUUGACGAAAGAAAGGUGAUUUUCAUUGCUUUCUAACUUUUACUGAUUAUCUCUUUACUUUGAUGCCACAGAAUAUGCAUACACGUGCAAGAUAAACGAGAAGAGUGACGUUUACAGCUUUGGAGUUGUUCUAAUGGAACUAGCAACAGGAAAGCAGCCCAAUGAGGCAGAGUUUGGGGAGAACAAAGAUAUUGUACAAUGGGCACACAGCAGAAUGAGAGAACUAAAAGGUAAUCUGAAAGAGAUGGUAGAUCCUAGCAUAUCAGAGGCUCAGGUGGAGAACGCAGUCAAAGUGCUAAGGAUCGCACUUCGCUGCACGGCUAAGAUUCCAUCUACAAGGCCCUCCAUGAGAAUGGUGGUUCAUAUGCUUGAAGAGGCUGAACCUUGUAACUUUAUUGACAUUGUUGUCAAGAAAGAAUGUGAAAACUAAAAGUAAUCAGCAAGAUUUGCAUCAUUACUACUGCAGUAGCAAAAGGAGAGCAUUUAUUGAGUUUAGUGUUAGGUCAUAAUAGGAUUUCAAGUCUUUCUCAAAAAGCUUGGAAUCAUGUGGCUCCAUCCGUUGACGAGGAGAAAAAGGUUUUGCCCCCUCUUCUACUUUUUCCUCUUGUAGCUUUUUUGCUUCAUUAGAUAGGAAGCAUUUGUAAAAUAUGGCUGCCAAUUUAAAUCCCCAGUGGCAUAAUCUUUAAGUUUGUAGAAUGUAAUCAUUGCAACAAAAGUAUUUAUUGGCUAUGAAGAACUAGAUUAGCCACCAUCGUUACAAUCCACCUCUUUUUCUGUUAUAAACGACUUCCUGCUUUAGCUAUGAAGUUCUACCCUAUUCAAACUUUAUAGAAAGAUGAGAUUAAAGUGAAAAAUAUUCCUUAAACUCAAGAGCACGGCUGUACGUAAACUUGUGACACAGUUGUACAAUUUAUAGAACAAAUCCGGAUCAAAUAAGGUCAUAGAACAAAAUAUACACUCAGAAAUUCAAAUUCUGCACAAGAAUUGAUUGACUAUAAUAUGUAUUUAAAAAUGGGUAAGAUACACGACUGGCAUGCUAUGCUUCAAAUUCAUACAACUUUCACACACUCCUUCCUCGCUUAGAGAUGGUUGUGUAUAAACUAAAUGUAAGUUGUAAAAUACAAUUCAAUGAUUUAAUUGAACAAACCAAAAAGAAUUCAGCGUUGAACGAAUAACUCUGGUGAGGAUCACCUUAGCCAAUUUUCUUGAGCAGCUCUCCUUGGUAGAUGAUUUCCAUGAAGAUUUGGCUCCUUUGGAAUAGUUGCAGCAGGGCUCCUUUUUCGAGAUAAUGCCUCUGAUGGUUUUCUAGCAUCUUUGAGACUCGAUAUCUUCAGAGAGGUUUCUUUCCUUGCAUUGUGUUGGCUAGGUACCAGAGAAGUUAAUUCUUCUUUGGAUGAUAUAUCCCUUUAAGAAUAGUUACCUGUGUCAGAACAUCAGAUGCUAGUAAUUAAGGUUCAGAAUGUUUGAAAUUUUAGUUACCUUCUAGGCUUCCUAACUCUUUGCUGUAUCUUUUUUAAGUUAGCCCUUUUCAAGUUGGCCUCUGUUGUCUUGGUUGCUCUCUUAUUGCCAGGUUCAAGCUGACGACAAUGUCUUGGUUUCUGGUGUUUUAAAGCAAAACAAUUUUGUGAGUCCAAUGUACAUAACUUGUCUUCAGAAUCUCCCUUUUUGUUGUUUGAGGAAUCUGGUAUUGUUCCACCCUGUAAACAUCACGGAUGUUAAUCAACUGCAUAAAAACAACUAAAUUAAUUCUCUUGAAUAUAAUAUCAGCUUACUUGUGGAUCGUCUGGGAAUUUGUUCUCUAACCUCCUUUGUUCAUGUUCUUCCUCAACAUGAUUUUCACAUUCAGAAUUCUAGUAAAACGAAAAAAGAAUUAUAUUUUAUCUAUCCACGGAGGGGGAGAGGGGUAAAAAAAUUUAUUGAAGAAAACUCACUUGAUUCGUGCAUUGAUUAUUUUUUCUUUGCAACUUGUCCCCAUGAUGCCUUCGAGAUGCAGUGAUGUCUUUCAAAGGACAAUGAAGCUUUUUCCCCAAGUUUGCUUCCCUAAGUACACCUCUUUCCUAAAGCGCCACCCCAAUGAUAUCAGAUUAGCAAUUUGAAGAGAUGAAAUAAAAUAAUAAGCUUGGUGGUAAAUGAGAGGGACCAGUCCACAUACAUCGGUUCUUAGUCUGAAUGGCUUGGGAUUCGUGGACUUUGGUCUGCUGGGUUUCAGCCCAUGAGAACCAACUGUAGCAGGAGUAGAUUUCUCCUUCACGGUCUUCUUUAAUACUUCUUUGACCUGCACCAUUUUUAUCUAUCAUCAUAACAAGCAAAAACCGAGAAGGACAGUUAUCAUAGUAAAAAGAACCAAAGAAGUAAUAGAUGCAGUAGCAUUCUCAAAAGAACCUUUGCCGCAUUAGAUCUCACAAGCUUGCCAAAUGCCACUGUUGCAGACUGGUCGUGAGAGUUGUCUUCCCUGCAAGAGUUUCCUUCAAUGAAUUAAUAAUCAGAACAACAUAUUCAACUUGUACACGAUUUUUGAUCAGUUCAUUACCUGUUGUCAUUAGGUGCAACAUUUUCAUCUGUGGUGGUUUCACUCUCAUGCUCUAUAUCAUCAUCAGAGGGUACUGCAUUAUCCUUACUUGCACUCACAACAUUUUCUUUGUCAUCACUCUCGAGUUUUGAGAUAUUCUUUUGUACUUCCCCUGAUUUCAUUCUCCCUUCACGAUUGCAUUUGUUAUUCUUCUCAGGCUCCACUUCACACAGAACUGAGUUGAAAUCAAUUGCUUCUGAAUUUUUCUCUGGAUUUGAUACUUUAGUAUCAUCAUCAGAAUUACUGUUCAGAGGCUCCACAAUUUGUAAAACCUUUUCAUCUCGAUUACCAUCACUAAUUUCAGCUACAUUUUCUUUAUCAUCACUCAACAGAAGUUCUAAAAUAUUCAUCUCUAACACACCUGGUUUGACUUGAUCUUCGUGAUAGUAUAAUUGGUUCUUCUUAUCCUCUACUUUACAUUGGACAACCUCGGCAUCACUUUUUUCCGAAAUUCUCUCCUCAUAAUUUGAAAUGGAAGUUCUAUCAAAAUCUUUGGAUAAAUUAUCUGAAUCUUCAGGUCUUGAAAGUCCAUCUGGAUUUUCGUCUUUACCCUUAGAAGAAACUGACAAACAGCACCCUUGCAUUGAAACUUGCCUUGAUUUUACAUCAAUAUCCAUAUCACUGGCAUCCUCAUCAACUUUUUCUGGAGCAACGUGCUGGGGAAGAGGCGGCUUUAUCUUCCUUUCUUUGCUUCUCCUCUUCAAAACCCUUACAGAUUUGGCAUCCUGGUGUUUGCAACCGUGUGUUCGUAAUGAAUCAAAAACUCGGCUCUUCACCUCACGUCCUCUGAACUGUUUCCGCGGAACAUCCUUGGGCAAUGACUGUCCAUCCCGUAAUACAUUUUUCUCAUGGCCUAAGACAUUCUUAUUUGCACUGUUAAUUUCGAGUUUCUUCAUUGCUGCACAUAUAGUUUUCACAGAGGUAUUCACUUCUGUUGAAGUUCUCUUUUUUGUAUCUUUCUUCGGAGACUGAAAGAACAAAGCCUUAGCUACUUUGGUAGUCUUUGGCUCUUCAGCUGAUAUUGUCUUAGAAUUUUUAACACUCAGAAAAGCAUUGGUAUUGGAGUUAAGCUUCCUGUUCCUUGGAGUGGUCAUUGCCUUGGCAUGAGUUUGCUUUGGCUUUACGUUCGCAGUUGCAGCAGGCUUGGUGGUAGGCAAUCUAGAUUUAACUCUUGAAUCCGCUAUCCUUUUGGAAAUGGAAGAAAUCAGAGCUAGCCUUGCCAUUCUAGACUUCGAAGACUUCGGAGGAGCUGUAAGUGGGCAUUUCAGGUUCCUAAUAGUUUCAAAAAACCAUGCUAUAACUUAUCAUUCGUGUGAAAAGAAAAUAAAUGUAUGAAGAAGAAGAAAAAUUCUGGAUCCGGACCUUCUAACUCUCUGAAGCCGUACAUUCGGACUUCUCGCUGCCAUUACCUGUUUGAUUCAACACUUCCUUACAUGAAAAUGAAACAGCAAAGUAGACAAGAAGUUUGCAGAGAAACUCAAUCCAUCACAUACCCGCAUUACAAAGUUUUUGUAAACGACAUCAGAGUCCAUUUCCUCUGGAUGUGCCUCUUCACACCCUACAUUUUUAAUAAAAUUGAAAUUCAAGAGUACACAAAGAAGGGGGAAGCCCUCUGUUCUCGCAAGGAAAUAAAGCAAUGCAAUUUUCAAUUUGCGGCAUCGAAGUCAAAACAUAAAUUAUGGACUCUUCACUCAACAAAAUGGAUUUCAAAUAAAAACAAAAUGAACAGAGUGAAGAGCAAGCCAAGAUAACUUAAAGAACUUCAUCUCUCAGCUACUCUAAUUCAAAAGAAUUCAAACAAAAUUCAAACAUUACAACUCUCAGUAAACCCAAAACAGAGUUUUCUACUCCUACUCUUCUUCUUCACCUCCUUAAGCAGAAAAUUCUAAAGCCAAAAAACGAAAUCUCUCUCUCUCUCACAAACACACACACAAAAGCAGAGAACAGUAACGCAAUGUAGUAAAAGAGAAUUAUCAGAUAAUUCCACUCCAAGAGAACAAAGAAAAGGGGCUUAAAACCCUAAGAAACAGUGAAAGAGAAAACUAAUAAGGAACAUACCGACUCGGGAGCAGAACCAGUAGCGAUCAUCGGGAACGUAGUGAUCGGAAACGGUGAAGUCGACGAACUUAGGCGCUUCGAUCAUCUCGUAGAAAUCUUCGCCUGAAUCGUCACCGGUGGAGUUGACAGCUUGAGUAUUCUCGUCCAUGGUGGAAACAAUGGAAAGAGAGAGAGAGAGAAAGGGUCUGGAAAAUGGGAGUAACGAUCGGAAAUGAAGAUGUGGAGAUGGUGAGGUAAGAAAGGAGAAAUUUUAAAUCGGUGCGUUGAUGGAAGUAGCCGUUGGAGAAAAGGGGACAGGCUGGUGGAAGUGAAGGGUAUUUUCGGCAUUUUGAAUUUCCUUUUCGUCCGAAUCCGAAUCCCAUGGGACCCGAGACCGAACCAAUUUAAUUUUUUCGGACCAAAAAAAAAGCCGAUUUCAAAAUUCGGCCCAAAACCUCCUUUAGGACAAACAAAAUUCGCCAUUUUUUCAUACUUUUUCUUUUUCUUUUUGUUAUCAACUCAUUGCUUCAAAAACACACCUUUUUCUUUCAAGCAUUUCUUCUAAAUUACCCACAAUUGUUAUGAACAAAUUUAAGCUUAUUAUGAGUAAAGCUCAACAAUGAGCAUUGAGUUCAAAGAAGCCUAUGAGAAUUUAGAGAGUAAGUAUGAGAGAGCUCACGGGGAGUCCGAACUUCAAAUAGAGUUCAAAGGAGAGAAAUUUGGAGUGAACACGAAAAAAGUAUAUGAAUCCACAUGAAAAGUCGAGAGGUCUAGAAUGAUCAGUUUAAGAGAGCUUAGAACAAUUUCGCGAAGCUAUAAUCUAUAGAGAGCUUAGAGGAUCACUUAUAAUAAAAGUUUCAUAAUUAAAGUUGUAAAGAUCUAAAAAUUCACAAGUACAACUAUAAUAUAUAUAUAUAUAUAUAUAUAUAUAUAUAUAUAUAUAUUUAGGAAUUGAACAUAAAAUAUUUUCUCCAAAAUAAUAAUAAUAAUGUUGGUGAGAGGAUUUAAUACUCAUAUCUACCAACAACUUUGUAGACUAAUUAAGAGUCUUUAAUGCCCACAAUACCAUUAAACCGCCAAAGUUUAGCUUAGUUCAUAAGAGUUUAAUUCAAAGCUAGUUUUCUUUUUUUGUCAAGUCGAUUAUUAAUUAAAGUGGUAAAUUUGAAUCUCGUUGAUCACACCCAUUAGGUUAUUAAUGUUUUGUUUGAUAACGUUUUGUGUUUCUCAGUUCUUAAGGUCUGUAAUCAGUUUUUGAUUCUUAAUGUAUAUGUAUAUGAUAUACACAUACUUCAAAUAUUGUUCAUAUUUGAUAUAUAAUGUUGUCUCUCACUCCAAUCAUUUAAAUGAUAUCAACUUAGAUGAUCUUGUUAUUAUACAUAUACUGUAAACUUCAAGUUAAAAAUUAACUCCACAAAUAUAAAGUUCAUAUUAAAAAAAAAAAAACUAGUAUAAUGCUUGUACUAUAUAUAUAAACCUAAUAUCAGAUAUUCGAUUCUAUCACGACACAUACUUUCUCUAGAACCAUCGAACUUAAUAGCCUAAAAGCAAGUCUUGCUUGUGAUAAGUUCACUUUCAAUUUUUGUUACGUUGCCGUAUGUAUUUAUAGUGAUGUGACUUAGCUUUAUAAUUAAACCUAACUACCGAAUCAAAUUAGCAUAGUGAAUAAAAUCAAGAAUUUGAGUGGUAGCCCUUCAACACAAUAAAUAAUAAUAAUAUAGCUUUCUAAAAUAGCAAAUUAAAGUGAUAUAUUUGUUGUUUUUUUUUCCUUCUUUUUCAAAAUUUUAAAAUUAAACUAAAGAGGAAGCAUGCAAAAUAUAUAAUUAUUUUCCUAAACUUUGUAAAUAUAUUUUAGUUCCCUCUCUAAUAAGAAUUUAUGUUUGUAAAAUAAUCCUUUUCAAAUAAAAAAUUUAUAUUUUUUACCCUUCCUCUAAAUUAAAAGUCUAAGCUAAAUUAAUUAAAAAAUGAAAACAUUGCUUUGGAGUGAGUAAUAUUUAUGGUAAGAUGUUUAUUGCCUUUUAAUUAAUUUCUUUUCUAUGAGGAAAAUAUAAAUAGUCUUUCUGUUUCUCAUCCAACUACCUAAUUAAAAUACUCAUAAAGUCAAAGAAUUAUUGAAACAUUAUAAAUUUUAAUCAACAUGGUGAAAAUAAUUUUAAAAUAAAAAAUAUAUAUAACAAAUGCAUUUAAUUAAAAAAAUACACGAGAAAAAUGUGGAUUGUUUUGUUUCUUUUUAAAUAUAAUCACUGUUUCAUAAGCUAAUUUAAUAUAACACGAAAAAAUGUUGAGAAAAAUGAAUAUUAUAAAAUGUGAUGUGUAAACCUACCAUUGAAAUUAAAUAAUAAUAAGAUAAUUUUAAAUUAUUAACAAAACUUUUAGAUAAUUCUAUCGUCGACUUAUAAACUCGUGGAUGUUCAUCGAAUUUAAAAUUCUAUCAUGUUUUUUAAAUAUUUUACUAAAUUUAUUAUUUACCAUAAUUUUCUUGUUUUAAGAUUACAAAAUGGUUUUUUUUUUUUUUUUGUUUAAUCUAAAAUUAAAAAGGGGGGUUUUCAACUUAAUAAUAUGAUUAAUUAAGUUGGUGUUGUGAUAGAAUCCACUUGGCACGAAACUCAGGAUUCCCCUUUAGGUUUUGUAUGUAAUUAUUUUUAAUUAAAAAGGUUUUUUUCAGCUUAAUAAAUAUUAAUUUAAGUGAAACCUUAAUUAAUUAAUUCAUUCUUAAUUCAUGUGUUAAUAAUAUAUAUAAUUAGUUGGUUACUAUAUAUAUAUAGUUGCAUUUUUAUUAAAUGAAAUAAUUACGUGUUUUGAUGAUGUUCAACGUGAGUGUCAUUUAUCAAAUAUAAUAUAUGCUGCUAUGUCUAUUCUCUUAAUUAAAUAUAUAUAGUCUCUUUCUCGAAAUAAAUAUUUGUGUUUAUUUAUUUAUUUGUGUGUGUUAUAUAGAUCAAAACAACAUAGAUUUGAAAAUACUAGGCGAAAGAAGGAAGAGACUUGAGUUUUAGGGUUUCUUUGAGCUCGUCUUGACAUCGACCUCUCAACCUCAUUCAUAUAUUCUUGAUUUAAUAGGCCCACGACAUGUCUAGUUCGACAUACAUGUUCACUUGAUUUCUGAAUAAAAAGGAAGCGACCCUAGUAAAUUUGAAAUGAAACAUGAAGGAUACUUUUAUAAUUUUGCCAAAGUUGAAGUCUUUUUUCUUUCCACUUUUCCAAAUUAUAAUAAAAUCCUAUAGUAUUUAUUCAAUAAUUCAAAAGGUAAUGAAAGUCAAGAUUAUUACAUAUGCAAGAUUAAUGAUGAUCAAUUGUUUUAACCUUGGAGCCUCUUGAAUACUAUAAUGAUUUUAUUGCCACCAUCUAUUUAAUAAGUCUAGAGAUAUGGUCAAUUCCAAUAAAUGUAUUUGUUUCAUUAGUAAUAAUUAUCUUCUUUGUAAUACGAGAAUAAUGGUCGUCUAACGUUAAAAAAAAUGUUCAUAUAUAAUGUAUACAACUAGUGAUAUACAACGUCUCUAUAGUUAAUCUUUCAAAAGUUUUCUUUGAUUGAGGUUGUCCAAGGCAGGGUCCAAAAUCUACUGACAGAUCAUCGAAGUUCAAAUUAAAAGCACCAAAAAAAUGCAUAGAGGAGUGCACGUCCAAAAUGUUAAUACUUUAGGGUCUGAGCUGACCAACUAAGCUGAUAAAUAUAUACACAUGUCAAAAAAUGAAACGAACCAACAUGAACUUAACUCAACUUACACCUGUAUCUUCGUGUGAACAAGAUUUAAUGUCUAUCAUUGAUAUUUAUAGAUUCUAAUAAAAGUUUAUAGUUAUCAUGUAUCAAUCAUCGAUAGAAUUUGAAAAAUUUUGAUUGUAUGUUAUAAAUACUUUUAAUACUUUUUCAUUUAUAAUAAUUUUUAUGGCUAAAAAAAAUGAAACAUACAUCUAAAUGCCAUUAUUUAAAAUGGCCAUCACAAGUUGAGGUUGAUCUCUCUCAUACAAAUCUUCAAUUUUAUGUAUUUUUUAAAAAGAAAAUUUUUAAGACAUUAUUAAAAUAUUUUUCUCUCCACACUCUUCACAUGCAAAUAAUUAAUUAAAUUCUAGCCAUCUAAGAUAGUCAAAUUUAAUUUUAUUAUUCUACUUUACUUAUAUAACUUCAAAUCUAAGUUCUAUUUAGUAUAUACAAUGUAUUUCUUUUACUGCAACGUUUUUAUUUAAUAUUUAACUUUUGAAUGGAGAAUUAUUAUUUGAGAGAACGAAUCCCUAAUAUUACGAACAACGAUAGUCAAUUAUAUCAUUAAACUACAUAUAAUAAAAAAAAAUCAAUUACACACGUAGCUGAGCAAUGAUUUUAAUAAAUAUAUUAUAUUUUGACCAUGUCCAUGAAAUUGGAAUAGAAAACUUGCAUGCUAUAAAUUAUAAAAAGUUCUCUAUUACCCGAAGGUGAAGAGAACCAACGUAUAUGAGAACUCUUAUAAAGUGUAUUUGUAUCUAAACUAAUCGAGUUAUACUUCCUAUUGACUAUUUACUAACUAAUUGAAAUAUUUUUAAUUAUGUUCUCAUGGUGUCGUACGUGCGUUAAUAAUUAAGUAUCUAGAGAAGUUGCCAGCAAAGCUUAAUUUAAUUCGUUUAACCUAAACACUCGUGUAUGCACCUAAGUACCGCAAGAAAUCUCUUAUUCUUUGAUCUAAAAAGUAUAUAUCUCUUUCUUCCACGUUCAACCAAUCUAUUUACUUUGUUGUGUUAAGUUUGUUCUUUGCAACAUAUCUUCCUUUUAAUUUAGGGUUAAUAGAAAGACUUGAAUCACAACAAUAAAUAAUAAUUACAAAUUUUUUUAGAAAACAAAAUAAUUUCCAUCUAUUAUCACUCAACCGAUCUUCCACGUACUUUUUCAAUCACGCCCAUGGUAUUGUUAAGAACCAAGAUAGGUUCAUUAUUCAAAUUUUGACUCCAUUUGUAUUAUAAAACAAAACCUAAUUAAUAUAUUCAAAUGACUAUGAAUAGGUCAAAAAAUUAUUAGAUCCAUUACACAUUUUCUUUCCAAUUCAAACAGGAAGAACUCAAUCCAAGGAAAAAUUCCAUACACCACUACACAAAGCUAUAUAUAUAUUGGGUUUGUACCUAAAACUAUAUAUUAAAAACAAUUUAUGAAUUAAGAAGUUACAUUGACAACAUUAUUAUUGUUGGGUGGCAUAAGUUUGAAGAACCCCAACCCAUACAUAUAUAUAUAUAUAUAUAGUCAACUUGACAGAAAUAAGAACAUAUAUAAAAGAAUAAAGUUAAAACAAAUCAUCAUCAUUAUUGUUAUUAUAUAGAUAUAACUUAUGAGUACAUCAAAUCUGGUGCCACCUACAACUCUCAAAAUACAUACCCAAUGAUCUAUCUAUAUAAUAAAAAAUCAAAUCAAAGAAACUAUAGUUUAAGUUUUUGUUGACUGGGGGCAAAAUGGUGAAAACAAUACAAAUCAAAUCAUCAAAGUCAACAAAAUCAUUUUUGGGUUAUGAUCAAAAGCUAAGGUUUAUAUUUAUAUAUAAUUUGGGCAUGUAAUUGACUUAGCCAAUACCCUUAUUCUUACUCAACUUAAUAUACAUUCAAUAUUCUUUUUUGGUUUUUUGGCUUUUUACUAAAUUAUAUGUAAUAGUUGUGGGGGUUUUUUGUUUAAUGUUAUUCAAUUAAGAAUAAUAUUAACAUUUUAGUUGUUUGAAAAUUGUUUGUUUAAUAAAUUAAUUACUUGUUCAAAGUUGGUAUGUUUUGGAUUAAAAUAUAUUCCAUACCAUUAAAAUUGAGCAAUUAUCUUUACAAUUUUCUUGAAAAUACUUGCACUAAAUUUUCAUAUAAUCUUUCAUUUAUGAAAAAUUAUUUUAGAUAAAAAAUGGUAGAUUUUUUUUAUAUAUAAAUAUAGUAGUCAAUCACAAAUAAAUUGAAUUAUUUUAUUAUAUUUGUAAAAAAAAAUUGUACAUUAAUUUGAAAUUUUCUAUUUAUUAUUCUUAUUUAUGUGAGUUAAGUUUUGGACAAAUUCAUUAACCUAACUUAGCUUGUGUGGUUUAACCUUCUUAAUAUGGAAGAGCUAUGAUGCUCAAUAUCUAAUAUUUUGGGCAUAGAUAGCAUUUAAUUAAUACACUAUUUAUGAAGAAAAAGAAAACCUUCAUGGCUAAUUAGGGUUCUUUAGGUCUCGUAAAUAAUCAAAAAUAUCAAGCUUUCGGUUUCAAUGUCUUACAAUGAUUUACGUCUUUUUUAAAUAUAAUGAUUGAAUUAAUAUAUUAUUGGCCAAAAAUUUUAAAAUAAACAAAAAAAAAAAACUUUUUGAAGGCUAUAUUUUAGUUUUGAAAAACAACGAAGAAUGUCGAUAACAAAUAAAGAAAGUUGGAGGGAAAUAGUGAUGAAUACUUAAUUUUCAAAAAGAAAAACAAAAAUAAAAUGGAAGAGUUGUUAUUUUGAAGCAAAGAAACUCAAACUCUGAAGGGAAAGUUUACUUAAGUUGAAAUCGAAUGGUAAAACUAUGAGUGAGCCAUUAAAAAUUAUGUUCAUUAGAAACUUCAUUGGACUAUUACAACUUCUCGUAGACGUAAACUGAUUUUUGUCAGUUAUGAUCAUGUUACAACAUCACCAUGCUUAAUAUCUUUUUAACGACCUAUUGAUUUUAUUCCAAUUCAACUAUUUUGGAAGAUAGUAUAUUAGUAUGAUAUUAAAUAAUUAAUUAAAGAUGAUUAAAAUUAAGUUGACUCAUAUGAAUAAUGAAUAAAUAAAACCUAAUAACCUAAGUGCCCACCAACUUAAUUAAACUCAAUUUCCUUAAUUCUCUUCUAAGCUCUCUGCCUUAGUUACUUUGUUAUUUUUCAAAAAGAAAUCUUCAUUGGUAAUAUAUAGGAAGAAAUAAUAAAGAAGAUUAAGAAUUUAGUGUUUAAAGGAAUGAGCAAUGUGACUGAGAAAGAUCCACAUCCUCUUUUGAACAUUGAUUGAAAUUCAACCAUUAAAAAGUAUAUAAUUUAUUAUAUAGAGUUAAUUUCGUAUGGUUGUAUGUUUCAAUAUGGUUGUUAAAUUUCAAUUUUUGUCUCGUUCGUAAAUUUUAAAAUGUUAUGCUUUUACGUUUUGUUGGUAUUAAAUUUCUGUCGCACUCAUUAUUGUUGUCUCAAAUAUCUUGUGCACUUGAACCCUUAGCUUCAACUUGCACACCGUGUUCCUCCCAGUCUAAUCUCGCUUACCUAUGAAAGAGAUCUUUGCAUCAGUGUAGUAACUACAUUUCAAUGUCUUAAUUAAUUAGUCUAUCUUGGAGAUCGUUAUAUAUCAUACUAUUUAUACUUUCUCUCCUCUAACUGAUAUGAACUACUCGUGCAUCAAAUUAUCAAUUCAAUUUAUUAAUCAAAAUGUGAAAAGAAAGAUAAAAUUGAAAAAUAUAAAAAUUACAUCAAAAGUGUAUUUAAUAAUUUUAUAUAUGAGCGAUUCAUAUCACUGAUAGACAAUACAGUAAUGUGUAGUUACAUAUAACUUUAACGAUGUUAAGACUGUCAUUACCACCUUAGUUUCGAUCUCAUCCAUUUAUUAAGCGAUUAUUUCCAAUAUUAAGUACCAUGUGAAGUAAUUAAAAUAAAUGAGUAGCCUUUCUUUUCACCUACAAAAAAUUAGGUGUAUUAAAUAAAUAAUAAUAAUAAUUUUUAUUAUUAUUAAAAGUAAGAAAAUAAAUAAGAAUUUGGAGAGAGGAAAAUUUGUGCUAUAAAAAGACCUAAAAAUCCUUCGUAUCUCUCCCAUAUUCCUUUCUCAAACAAUUCAUCUCUCUCUCUCUCUCUCUUUCUCUCUUUCUCUCUAUCUCUAAAACACAAAUGGAGCUUCUAUCGGCGGCUCUGUUUGGCCUUCUCUUGGCUUCCAUCCUUCCUCUCAUUUUCUUCUUCGCUUUCAGAGAUGGAAUCAACAACUCCUCCGCUCCCAAUCCCAUCCAUCCCAAAUCCAUCAAUUCCCCCGCCCCCCUCCAGAUUCCCCCUCACUCCAACGACGACAACCCCGACGUCAUCGUCGUCGGCGCUGGUGUCGCCGGCGCCGCUCUUGCUUUCACCCUCGCCAAGGUCCGUCGUCUAUCUCUCGCAUUUCCCUUUUCGUCUUUCAUUUUGAAUUUGCUUGUGUUUGUUAUUAUUAUUAUUAGAAGACGACGGAUGCAUUUUUUUCAUUUGAAUUCUAGUGGUUUAGCAUCUCUUAAUUUUUCCACAAUUUUGAAAAGUAUAUAUUGACAUUUUAUUUGUUUUCUAGUAUGAUAUAUAUAUAUAUAUAUAUUUGUUCUUGUUGAUUAAAUUAAUUUUGUGAUUUAUUAGAAUUAUGUAUCCUAAAUAGGAAUAAAAUUAGAUUUUUUCAAGACUAUUUUCUUUAAUUUUAAAUGUUAUUGUAGGAAAUUAGGAAAUAGAACCUCAAUUUUUUUUUCAUAUAAUUUUACUUUAAACUCUAAACAUAUUUAUGUUGUUUUAUUUUGUUUCUAAAUAAUUUCUCUAUUUUAGUUUCUUAAUUUUCAAACAAUAUUACCACUUUUAUUUUAUUUAUUUUCUUCCAAUCUACUACACUAAAUACUUAGCUUAUAAGUCUCCCUAUGUAAUAUAUACACAAUGAAUCAAAAUUUAAUACUCUAAGAAUUAUUUUCUAAAACUCGAAAAUUAAUCAUGAAAAUCAAAUCAAAAUUAAGAAAAAUUAGGAAAAAUGGGAGCCGUACGUUGAAUCUAAUGAGUUUUUUUUUUUCUUUCUUUUUGGAAGAAUGUAAUAAGAACUUUGACUAAAAAACAAAAAACAACUAUGUAUAAAUUUAGAAAAUAAAUAAUAAUUUCUUCCACUACUUUUUUUCAUCUAAAAAAAGAAUAAUAAUAAAUUCUACUACUACCCAGCUAACAGCCAAUUUGUGAUAUUAGAAAAUGGUUCCAACUAUUGAAACAUACCAUCAAUGUUACAUCAAAUCAAAUUAUCAAUCUAAUUCCUUUAAAAAAUUAAAGAAAAAAAAUCAACAUCUUCAACUUACAAUUUUAAAUCUCUUUAGUGAAAUAAUUUAGUUUAUAUUGUAUAUGGCCUAAUAACAAAUUUACACAAAAAUCUAAAACAUUACGUCUAUUUAUUUUGGGUAUUCAAACAGAAAAAAGGGAAGCGGCAGAAUUUGUUAUAUAUAUAUUUAUUUAUUUAUAUGAUUUUUAGCUGUCGAAUUUUUGGAUAUAUAUAAAAUAUGUUGGCGUAAUUAAGAAGUUUAAUUAAAUUAAUUAAUUACUUAAGGAUUAUAGAAAAUGGAAAUUGACUUUUUGUUUGAUGUAUUCAAAUAAUUAGAACUUCUGUUGGUAAGUAAUUAAGAGUAGGGAGUUGUUGGCAUGAUUUAUUUAUUUAUAUAUUUGAAGCCAAUUGAGUUAUUUUUUUUAAAAAAAUAAUUCUUUUUAUUAAUAAAAAAUAAUCGUUUAAUUUCUCAUUUAAAUAUUUUGAAACCCCAAUUCUCAAAUUUGGCUUCGUCCAAUAUCUAAAGUCUUUCCUUAAUUUUUAAAUUUUUUCUAUUAAUAAAAUUUAAUUUAAUCUUCCAACUUUUAAUAGACCUUACAAUUAUUAUUGAGAGUUAAUUUUUGUUAACUAAUUAAAAUUAAAAUUGCUAAAGAAGAAUUAAAAUAAUUAAAAUAGAGAACAUAAAAUUUAUUUUAUUAACAAUGGAGAGUUUUGGGUGUGAGAUUGUAGGAUGGAAGAAGAGUGCAUGUAAUAGAGAGGGACUUGACGGAGCCAGAUCGAAUCGUCGGAGAAUUGCUUCAACCUGGUGGCUAUUUGAAGCUCAUCGAGUUAGGUCUUGAAGGUAACCCUCUUAAAUUCCCAUUUCUCAUUUCUCCUUAUUCUUCAAUUUUUCCUAGAACUACACUUCUAAUCCAUUCCUUCUUCUGCUUUUUUAAUCCAUUUCCAACAGACAGUCUUAACGGAAUCGAGGCUCAGCAGGUGUUUGGUUAUGCCCUCUACAAAAAUGGCAGGCACACCAGGUUGGCUUAUCCUUUGGAGAAAUAUGAUUCCAGUGUUUCUGGAAGAAGCUUUCACAAUGGCCGUUUCAUUCAGAGAUUGAGGGAAAAGGCUGCUGCUUUUUCAAAGUAAUUUACUCAUUUUUCCCUUUUCUUUCUUGUUUUUCUUCUUGCUAUACCCCGUUUUUUGUUCUUGAUCUUUGCAACUGUCAGUUGUAGUUUCUGGGAUUUUAGAAAGUUUUCAUUUUAGUCCUUUUUUUUUUUUUUAAUUUUAUCCCCUUAUGCUGGUAUGUUAUUUUACAUUUUUUUCAUUGAUUUGGAAUUGGUAUGAAGCAUGUUUCGGAGUGAUUUUGAACAUGGCAGAAUGGGUUUGGUUGUUCUGACCAUUUCAAAGAUUUAUGAACAUGCCAUCAAAACAAGUGCUUUGAUUUUCGACAUUUUUCUUCCUUUCCAUUUCACUGAUUCUUGGUUUAUAUCUGUUAAUCAAUUUUGAUAUCUUUCCAGUGUGAGAAUGGAACAAGGGACUGUAACGUCCAUAGUUGAAGAAGAUGGGAUUGUGAAAGGUGUGCAAUAUAAAACCAAGAAUGGCAAAGAGUUGACAGCUUAUGCUCCCCUCACAAUUGUUUGUGAUGGUGGCUUUUCGAAUUUGCGUCGCAAGCUCUGCAAACCUCAGGUAAUUCGUACGGAAUGUAUUGAAGAAGUAUUCAAGUUCUGAUCAUCGAUCAAUAUGUGCAAGUAAUAUUACAAGCAGUCAUUUUAUAUUUAGUACAAGAUGGAGUUAGAAGUUUGGAAUACUUGAUGCUUAAGCCCCUGAUGAUGUUCUCUUAAAACCUUGUCAUGAUCCUUCCUGCAGAUUGACAUUCCCUCAUGCUUUGUUGGUUUGGUCCUGGAGAACUGCAAGCUUCCCCUUGAAAAUCAUGGACAUGUUGUGCUAGCAGAUCCAUCGCCUAUCUUGUUAUACCCGAUUAGCAAUACGGAGGUACGCUGCUUAGUCGAUAUACCCGGCCAAAAAGUCCCUUCUGUUGCUAAUGGCGAAAUGGCACACUACUUGAAAACUGCUGUAGCUCCUCAGGUACCUUUACAUAUUGAUUUCUCUUGCGGCUUUCUCAACUUUGUUCUGUAUGUUUUUUUUUUCAUUGGCACCUAGAAGUGCAAGAAUCUGCCCUUUUGGCUCGCUUGUUGAUUUUGAGAAUUUCAUAUUCCAGCUACCGCCUGAGGUGUAUCCUUCCUUCAUUGCUGCAAUCGAUAAAGGAAACAUAAAAAGCACAACAAAUAGAAGUAUGCCAGCAGCACCACAAUCCACACCAGGAGCACUUCUCUUGGGUGAUGCAUUCAACAUGAGACAUCCUUUAACAGGCGGAGGAAUGACCGUUGCUCUCUCUGAUAUCGUUCUGCUACGAGACCUUCUUCGACCCCUUUCAAAUUUAAACGAUGCUGAUGUCUUGUCCAACUAUCUCGAAUCCUUCUACACUUUGCGCAAGGUAUCACAUACAUACUAAUAGAGUUAAUUACCUCAUUAUACUAGUUGUGGCCCAACACCUCAAGCUUUCUUAAACUAAUACUGGCUUUCAUUCAUCCCUUGCAGCCAGUGGCAUCUACAAUAAACACAUUAGCAGGUGCCUUAUACAGGGUGUUUUCUGCAUCACCAGAUCCAGCCAGGAAGGAAAUGCGCGAAGCUUGUUUCGAUUAUUUGAGUUUAGGAGGUGUGUUUUCAUCAGGACCAGUGGCUCUUCUCUCUGGUCUUAACCCACGCCCAUUAAGCCUAUUCUGUCACUUCUUUGCCGUUGCUAUAUACGGUGUUGGUCGGUUGCUAAUCCCAUUCCCCUCACCUAAGCGUAUAUGGAUUGGAGUUCGGUUGAUUACGGUACACAUCUAUCAUCAUCCAAAUCCUGCUUACAUCUGCAUAUAAACUUACAUUAUCUAUUGAAAGGAGCAUUUUUCUUAAUUACAUCUCAACUUUGAAUGUUGUAGGUAGCAGCAGGCAUAAUUUUUCCCAUAAUAAAGGCUGAAGGAGUGAGACAAAUGUUCUUCCCCGCAACAGUGCCUGCAUACUACAGAACCCCUCCUAUGUUGUGAAAGCAAAGGAACAAAGAAAAGAAAAACAAAAAUCCAUAACAAAAAAGAGAAUUUCUGUGAAGAAAACCUUAUUGUAUUUAGUAGUACAUUUCCCAAAGUCCAAAGAAUUGGAGGAGGAAAUGCUACUUAUAGGAAAAUGAACUUAAAUGUAGAGUUUAUCUCUUGAGCUUUAUUCUAUUAUUAUUUUUUUCAUCUUUUUUCUCCUGUGUAGGAACAAAAUUAUGUUCACUUCAAAGCUUGAUAAGAUUCUCAUGUACAAUCAAUCACUUAUUUGUAUACAUCUUUCAUGGCCAGCCAAGCAUCUUUGUAAUGACAUUGCUCUCUGGUAGGGGAGUAAAUUCGUUGAAUUGGAUUGUGAUAAUUUGUCUACAAUACGUUCAAAUAACUAAAAUAAUACAACAUAUCUAAUACAAACUUCAUAUAAAUACCAUACGUAAUAUGUAUGCAUUAUAAUAUAUAAAAGUUAAACUAACAAAGCGUAUAAUUUUUUGGAGUGUAUAAGUGUAUAAUUUUUUGAUAUAAAAGGUGAGGAACUAAUAGGUUAUAGGAGGAAUUAUGUGGCUGCUGAAUUGGGCAAAGAAAUGUAUGCAAGGAAGGAUCAUAAUUAAUAGAUAAAAGUUCACCAAACAAGUCCCAAUUUCAACGUUAUACCAUAAUCUCAACCGAUAGAUUAAGACAUAUAAUCUAUGUUAAAGGAUAUUUGGAUCAAAAUAAUUAUAAUUAACACUUAAAAACCAAACACAACCAAAAUGUACUUUUUUUUAACCCAAUUCCUCAAGUAUUAAAGACCUGUUUAGUUAUCAAUCUGAAUUUUGUUAUUUGAACAAACAAACAUGUGUUUGACAAACUUAGGUUUAUAUUUCUGAAGAACAGAAACAUUUUUAUGUAUUUAUUAUUGAAUUCAAAAUUUAGAUAGAAAUUCGUUUUAUGUGAUGUAACGUAAAUCAAAUUGUAUUGAAAUUUUGGUGGAUAAAAUUAGGAGUUAAUCCCUAUGAUUGUAAAGGUUAAACUUCCUUUAAUUUACCAAAAUUCUCUCAAAAAAUCCUUACCUUAGUAACCUUUUGCAUAAAGACUAAGUUCUAACUAUAAAUUACAAAUUCAAAGAGGGAGAGGGACAGAUGCAGAUGGAGAUGAUGGGAACUUUUUUUUAUACAAUAAAAGGGAAGAGAAAAGAAGAAACAUAUGCCAAUCUGAAAUUUGAGUUUCCCCUUCUUCUUCAUACUAACAUCUAAACAUACUCAUUCUCUGCUUCUACUACAACACGUACUUUCCUGCUUCUUAUAAUCCUCAAAAUCUUCCAUUUGAGUUUCGUAGGUUCCAAAAUCUAUAAAGAACAUCAACAAAUUCAACUAAUAUUUUCGUCAUUAUCUAACCGUGUGUAUAUAAGUAGAACCAACCAUUCCCCUUCACUAUCCACUAUCAUGAGUCCUCAAAAUGAUGAUCUGUCUCAUCAAAGAUCUCCUCCUGUGAAAAAAAUGCAUGCCUAUACUUUUAAGAAAAGAAACAACUAAUCAACAUUUACUUCAUGUCCAAAAUGAGCAGUUCGUACCUGUAAAAGUUCUUCAAUGACAUCCUCCAUUGUUAUGACGCCGACAGCUUCUUCUUCCUCGGCGAGCUUAGGAAGAGGGCUUCCGUCUAUCUGGAGGAUAUCAGAGUACAUAUCUUUUGUCCAUUUCUUGCUUCUAGAGCCACUCCUGAAUGAAUUGUUUGAGGUGGGAAAGCUUUUCCAUUUCUGAAGUGGCCUCUUGUUCUUCAAAGUUUUUUCUUGUGGGGGCUUUUCACCAUCCACAUCAAUUCUAACAUCUUUCUGAGAAUCUAGUUUGAGAAAGCACUUCAAUUAAUACAAUGCCAUUAAGGAACCAGAAUCUGAAAAGUUCAAACAGAUUAAUUUGUGAAUAACAAAGUUACAAACACAGAGGUAGGUAUAUAUACCGUCACUCGUUUUAUCAUCAGAUUUCCCAUUCAUUUUGUUGCACUGUUUAACAACAAUGGCCAUGUGGCUAUGACCUUUCUGGAACUCAUUCAAAAUGUCAUACAAUGGCAUAGUUUCUGGAACCCUGUAACAGAAUUACGUAACAUCAGAGUGACAACUAGAAUUUGAACCGUCAAAUCUGAAACAAGAAUGUUAUUUCUGUCACUAAUGUACCUAGGAAUUCUUCGAAUGGUGACACUUUUUACUGGAACUUCAUCAUCUGGGUGGAUAGUAAGCAAAUUUUUAACCUAAUACAAAAAAACAGAAGUGUUAAACAAAAAGAGAUAUUACCUUUUGCAAGGGAGGACAGUUGCAUUUGGAAAAGUUGGAUAUAAGAAUACAGAUAAGGUGAGACAUUAACAGAAAAUUGCUAGAAAGUGUGCUUGCUGAUAAAGAAAAAUGGGAGUAAAGCCUCCAGCUUAGCAUCAAAGUGAAUAGGUAAAAAUGAUCUGAAGAGUAUUUGCAGAGGUUGGAACCAAUCUCAAAUUUACUUGACUAAAAUUUGAAAUGUCAAUGAAUACAGGGAAAUUAAUAAUAUUGUUCUAAGGAAAUAUGAAAAGAAAAUGUAUCCCUGACCAAGCACCAACUAUCGUCACCAUAUAUACAUUAUAUAUUAUUCCUAUGUUUUCACUUUUGAUCCCUGAAUUGGAUACUUAUUACUUCUAAUAUUAGAAUUCAGGUCAUCGAACACAUCCCUGAAUCAGAUGCUUUUUUAAGAUCACCCUUUCCUUUUUACGAAAACAGAAAAAGAAAGAUAAACAAAAACAAACAAAAGACAGACCACAAAAGUUUCAACUACAAACUGUACUAUAACAACCAAUAAUAGUAGAAGAAAUUGACUGCUCAGAAGAGACCUCUAAGAAAGUCAGGACUUCUUGUAUAGAGAGGUUGUUUGAUGUAUACGAAGCAGAGAUGAUUAACAAGUUUACCAGGAUAAGACCAAUGAUGUUGGUUGGUUCUUCAUAAUAAACUGGCACCCUGCUAUGCCCUUUCUCGAGAACAAGAUUCAUCAAAUUCCUGUGCAAUCAUAACAAGUACUUCAGAAGCUAUAAAUCGGAUUAACUUAUUGUAAAGGUGAGUUAUUUGUUGUCUAACUUCCAACAUGAAAUUACCUAUCGAGCUUCGCAUUGAUGUCAAUAGCAAACGUUUCAGAUAUAGGAGUCAUGGCGUCACCAGCUGUCUUCUCACUCAAUUCAAGAGCUCCAGCAAUAAUAGUGGUUUCAUCAUGUGUCAGCUCUCCCCCCUUUCCAGCCUAUAACAGGUUAAUAACAUCAGGCAUUAGUAAAUAAAAAUUGACAACAGAAAAGAAAAGCGAAGAAGUUUGCAUAAGAAAGCAUGUUGCUACUCUACCAAAGAUUUAAAAUAAAUAUGAUCACACACCUGACACCCAUACGUAGAGUCAGAUCUUACAAGAAUAGAUAAAAAUCAAAUUGUAUGGGCAUUAAACCCACAUUUAUACCUCAUUACCGUGCAAAUUGACAAGUGUUUUUAGUUCAGCUCGACGGAAAAGAGCUACACGUCCAUGGCCCAGUAGAAAGUCUAGUAGCUGGAAAUCACAUUUAGCAUGAAAAAGUAAGGAACCAUUUUGAACAAUAAUGUAGUAAAUUUAAGUAACCCAAGUCCUCAUUGUCUACCUUGCUGAUUGGAUAUGCAACAGGGAAGCAAAUCCAAACAAGAACACGGACAAAAGGAGCAACUGUUGCUCCAAUUGCCAAACCAUACCGAGAGCAAACAGACUGUGGUAUAAUCUGUACAUAAAAAGUAAAUAGAUAUUUAAUAAUUAAAUAUACCCCUGAAAUUUGGCAUCAGCUGAAAAUUGUGAAUUGAGGCGCAUCAAUAAAGCCAAAAGUAGCAACUGUGAAGAAUAGACAACUCUGGCUAAUUGUCCACAUUUAUUAGUUGUACAUCCACAAUGGUACAAUGCAGGUUAAUCCUUGAGAGAGCUUGCAAAUUUUUAUUGAAAUAAAAAAGAACAAGUAAUCCAAACAUGAAAAAGGAAAGCCAUUCCCUAGAUAAUUGCUCUAACCUCGCCAAAUAGAAGAAUCAAUGUAACUGAGAUUAAAAUAGCACCCCAAGCUGUAACCAAGCUAUCAAGGAAAAUAGGAAGUGCCUGCACGGACAGUUAAUUCAAAUGUUGAGCAUUUUUUCCAGAAUUUAAUGUAUUUGGUCAAUCUCCUUCACACUUAUUUAAAUGUACCUCCAUGGCUGCUGCAUUGCAUAUCAGUAGGGUGCAUAGCAAUAAAUGCUGGUUUUUGACAACUGGCAAUAUCUUUGCUGUACAAAACCAAGUAAAUUAUUAAGGAGAAGUUUCAAUCACAAUAUCACAAACUCAUAUUGAAGUUUAAACAGAAAAGCAUUAUAAAGAGGCUGGGGGGGUCAUCAGAAGUACAGAAGAGUAAAAAGCCACGUUCCUCAAAACCUUAAGACAGCAAAAUAUAACAUUUUAACAAAUUUUCCUUGUAUCUGAUAGAAUUUGUCGUAUAGGAAAAUGUCACAUAUAAGCAUGUGCAUUUACUCCUGAAAAUCAAUUCUUGUUCAUCUUCCUAGUUAUUCUUUACUGUUUGGCUUCAGCAUGGAGUAAUCUCCUUGUAGUUUGUUAAAUAAGAAACACAGAAAAACAGAACAUUACAAAUUGUCGGAUUCUUAUUCUCAAGUGCAAUAUAUACCAGAAAAAGAAAAAUAACAUAGUUAUGUAUUUUAACCUACAAGAAACAAAGUUCAACAAGACGAUAUCAAAUUUUCAAGAAUUAGGAAAUAUCAACUACGAAGUUCAAGUCAACCAAGCAAGCAUUCUUGUUUGUUCUUCUUUUUCAGUUUCUUAGUACAAUAGCUGCAGAGUGAGGGAUUAAAUCAUCCACUUUUACAAUGGUAACCGGUGUCUUGUCCAUUGAACUAUGCUCAAAUUGGUAGAAAAGUUUGCUAAUAACUACUACAUUUCCCAAAUAAAAUUACUGGUCAAGCACCAAAAUACACUAGGAGAAACAUUUCUAGAUUUAAUUUUUAAUAAUGUCAGAAUAAGUGGAAGAAGCUAACAAUCUCUAAGAUCGAUUUCUCAUCAAAGACAAUACGAGAUAUAAAUUAACACAAUGCAGUAUCAAUGCUUUCUUUUUUCUAUGGUAACACAAUCCAACGGUAACCUGAAGGAUAUGCCAUUUUAGAGAUAUUAACUCGAAGUCUCAAAGGUCAAUAAAACGAAAGUUGAAUCGUUCAACAUUUAGUACCUCUCCUUUAAAGGUCACAUGUUCCAAUCCCCUCUCCACUCAUCUCCUUCGUAAAGUAUUGAAUAUCAAGGGAAAAAAAACAAAACUCAAUAACCUUAGCCAGAUGGAACAAUAAAAAAAUCUUCGGAAACAAAAAGAGGAAAGUCCCUUGCACGUUAGGGUUUAAGAUCUUCCAAAGUCGUCAAUAUACCAAAGCGGUACGUAACUUACAAGCUAUAGUUUCACUGUUACAUUUUGUCGAUAUAUACAUUCUUUCAUACUCACAGCUUGUAGAAAGUACAUUGAAAAGACGUCAUACUAACCCUUCCUUUGACUCAAACAACAAAUCAAAAAUGAAAACAGAACAAAAAAAUUCAUCAGACUCCUCAUCGCAACUUUUCUCUGCUUCAAGCAAGAAUUCGAAAAUUUAAAAACAAAAAAAAUUAAAUUAAAAAAGAAACUAUAUGAACCCCACCGCCUAAAUAUUUAUCCUUAUCACAAUUCCCGAUUGCCAAUUUCCAGUUUCCAAUUUCCAAUCAUAUAGUACUCGAAAUGUUCAACUCAUUCCGUUAUUAAAUGAGAAAAAAAAAAAAACAGGGGAAUUCCCAAAUUAAAAAGGAAAAUGGGAAAAGGGAGAACGAAAGAUACCGAAUAACACAAGAAUUAGUAACUAAUGAAAGCAAACGUACUAACAAACGGCCCCACAUAAUAAAUGAAGAAACGGAUCGAUUAAACAAUGAAAGCAGAGUAAAGAAGAAGAAGAAAAAGAAGAAAAGGGAAAGCUUACCGGCGUGUAUGCGGUCCUUGGGGGUACCAGACUUGGCAAGAACUUCAAGAUCGACGAGACUCAUGGACAUGAGGCCAAGGGUGAGACCGGACAUCAAGCCGGCGAAGAGGACCAAAAGAACGAUGAUAAGAAUAUGGAUGAAGAAAUUGGGGGUGCAGCAUUCGUAUUCGACGGCCAUUCAAACCGGCCGGCGGUGAGUUGAGGAAAUAGGAAAAUUUAAGAAAAGGGGUUGAGUUAGAGAGGUUGGCGGUGGACAAGAGCCAUUAGAGAAACAGUGGGAGAGAAAAGAGGGAUUUGUAUAUAUAGAUAGAAAUGAGAGAGAAAGAGAAGAGAGAGAGAAUAUACGUUUGAUCAGAGAGAGAGAGAGGUGAACGUGUAGGUGUACAUUAGAGACAGAGAGAGAGAGAAGAAGGUGGUGAUGAUGAAUGAUGAUAAUGGUAGAGGAGAAGAGGAGAAGAGGAGAAGGGCCUAUUUCAAAAUUAAUACUUUUUUAGGGACCUAACUGCAAUAAUGAUGAUAAAAAAAAACUCAAUAUUUAAUAAGUUCUUCACAUUAUUUUCAGCCUAAAAAUAUCAAAGAGUGAAAAACGUUUUCUUUUUUAAUUAAUUAAUUAAAGUUUUUUUCACGGUUUAGGGUAUAGGAAAGAUAGAAGUUUUCUAGUUCAAUCGAUCGUUUUUCACUCCUAGGCUUUUCAUUUACUUCGUGGGGUUCAUCCUAUUCCUUUUGAUAGGCUUUCUUUAUCUGAAUUCAUGUGUAAAGCAAAAAUAGAAGAUAGACGAGAACUAUGAAUGAAUUGCGUUUUUUUCGUUCGAAUGAUCGCUUUUAUUCAUUGAAUUUCAAAAAGUAGAAAAAUAGUAUGAUAUUCAAAUUUAAGGUUAAGUUGUAAUUUAACAUUUUAAAAGAUUUAGUACGUACAACAACAAAAACAAAUACGAGGAUGGCAGGUUGACUCUUUGACUUAAAAAAUAUAUCUCUUAUAUCUCAAUUGGUGUUGAGUUAUGAUGACAAGUGAUAAAGCUUUACAUGUGGCAUGAGACGUAAUGACUAACUUGGUAUAAAAUUUAUAAGGAAUUCAACCACUUAAUUAAAGAAGAGAGUGGUUGUAACCCACCUCUUUUAGAAAAUGAAGCUCGUGUUCUUAUUUCCAUUUUUUUUUUGCAGGAGACUGAAGACAUACAUUUUAUAUGCCUUGUGGGAAAUGUAUCACGUUGUAGGACAUUGCGAUCUAGUUGAGGUUACUGAUGGAUAGGAAGUAUGUUGAAGGAUCAUUACGUUAAUGUAUAACUGGAAACAAGUACGUGAAGAUUUAUUGAAAAUUCUACCACCUGAAAUGAAAUAUCAAAAGUUAAGCCUUCUAUGGUUUGCCAAACAGUUCGUAGAAUUAUCACCAGAUGCUGACGUUAUGAGCAUCUAAAGAUAUGCAUGUGCGUACAUUAUGCAAACUCAGUGAAGGUUUGUCUUUUUUAGAUAUCCUAUUUUUUACGAUAGUUUUUUUAAAAAAAUUACUUUUAAAAAAGCAAUUUAAUUAGUUCUAGGAAAGUCAGUAUAAUAACUAACAUACAAUACAAUAACGACAAUAAAAUUUGUGGUUUAAAUCUUCCACUCCUAUUAUACGAACCACCAGUCGAAUAAUUUAGGUUAAAUAUUAAAAUACCAACAAACUUUAUUUAAAAUAUUUUAAAGAUUCUAUAAUUCUAUAUUAUAUAACUAUGAUAUCAUAUUUUAAAAAGAGGAGAAGAAGAAGAAAAAAUAGAAUUGUGGAUGUGUUUUUAUUCUAUGUGUCCAUGUGGAUUAUUUAUUGUCAUUCUACCAAAGUUUAAUAUUACUUUUGGUGGAGUUUGUGUCACCAUUAUUUAACAUUAUUUAAUUAACAUUUUUCCCUAUUUAUAGAUUAAUUUUAAUUAAACACAUUAAUUUAGGUAUUAUUAAUUUUUUCAUACAAAGGGUGAAAUCAAAACAUUCUCUAAAUAAUGAUUGGUGUAAAAGUAAGUUUAUUUUCCACAAUUAGGUUAAUUAAUUUGUCAUUUUUACACCAAAGUAUUCAACUAAGUUCUAUAUUUCUAAUUUUAGAAAGUUUAUUCUAAAUUGUUUUUUAAUAUAUCAUUGUUUCUUUCUCUAUUUUUGUAUUUCUAAAUGUGAUAAAUAAAUUGAAAAAGCAAUCCACGUGGCAUGCAUUACUCAUAAAAGGGAAAAUUAUAAAUUUAAUUUCACCUAUAUGAUUAAUUUGUUUAUCUCAUUCAUCAUAGUUGACCUUUUUAUUUUGCUUAAAUAGUUCCAUCAAUUUCAAAUUUUCAAACAUAAUUUCAUGUUAUGAAAUAUGAAUUAAUAUAAAAAACGCCACUAUUUCUCGAUGAUAUAGACUUUGGCAAAUUAUUGUCAUAUUCUAUCACGUAUGUAGACUAUUAUAGUCGUCUAUAUCACUAUCUAUCACUAAUAAACCCUUGACACUUCGAGCUAUAUAUAUUAUUUGUAAAUAUUUUGAUUCAUUUAAAAUAGUUAUCUAGUUUUAAUAUUGAAAAGCCAGUAAAAUUCAAAAUUUUCCAAAACUUUAUUAUCAUAGGGUUAGUUAUCUUCGAUACUUAGCCAUUAGGUCUUAAUGACUGACCUAUGAUAGUCAAUCCUACGGCCUACGUCCAUACUUAGCUAAAGAAAUUCUCUAGUUCGAUAGUUGAUUCAACAUGUCAGUCUUCAUAUCUACAAACAUUAUGCCAAUUGAGUUGUAUGUACUCCUUUCGAGAAAGAAAUUUUUAAUGGUAACCUAUCAUUUGUGAUGUUAUUGAUGAAAUAUUUACUAUUUCAUAAUGUUCAUCGAUCCAUAGUAAAAUUACAUGGUGUAAUUGAAAUGAGAUCUUAUUGAUGAAUCGUCAACCGCAAUAAAUAUUAAUUAAAUUGCGUCUCUUGAUCACAUGUACUUAAAUAGUUUAUAAACCUAAUUUAUCCUCUUAACGGUAACCUAUCAUUUGUGACAUUUUUCACAAUUCUCUUAUUGUAUAACAUAACGGUAUCUAUAACCGUGACAGUAUUGAAUUUGUAACGAACUUUGAUUAUAAACGAAAAAGUGAAGCUCGUAUUACAUUAAGAUUAAGAUUAAUAAAACACGUAUAAUGAUCAAAAUCAGACCCACUUGUAUUGGGGAUGAAUAAUCUAUGUAUCUAACAAACGUAAAAGAAUCAUUUAUCAACAAACCCUAAUAAUCGACCCUAUGGGUGUUGGCCAUUUAGUUUUGUCUACGCACGACGUGUCGCGUCAAACUUGUACGGCUCAUUUUUCCGUCAUGUCGUUUUCACUAUUAAAUCUUCCUGGGACCCAUCCCUCCAGUGGUUCGUUCUGUUUGGACAUAAAAAAGAAAAAAAAAAAAAUAUAUAUAUAUAUAUAUAUAUAAUAACAAAAUUAUUAUUACUAUUUUUUCUAAUUCCAAUUCUUUAAUUUGCUUUUUCUUCAUCUCCAAAAAGUUUGUAUUAUUAUUUUCCUUUCCAGAAAUAAAUGUUGAAUUAUUUUCGAGAAAAAAAAUUAUUAUCUUUAGGUAUUAAUAAAAUAUUUACUAUUUUUAUACAUUUGCUUUUUCCCUUUCCCUUUUCUUUUAAUUCAAUUAUAUACUUCUUUCCCUAAUAAAAUUUUAACUAUAUAUAUAUAAGAUUUAAACCAAUAUAUAUUGCAUGGAAACGCUAACAUCUUAUACAGUACAAUACGUAACGAGACGUGGUGUUUGACCACCAUCACUCCGAAAAUCAUGUUAUAUUAGUAAUAACUAACAGAGAGAGUUAGAUAAUAGAGAAUUCAUGAUUUUUUCAAUGUAUCUUACUAGAGGAUACCGAGUUAUAAGGCCUUGUGGUGUCGACUUUCCUUUCAUGCCUCUUCUUCCGUCUUGCAUUUCUUCUAUAAGUCAUUUUGCUAUCUAGUCUUAACUCUCUCCUUAAUUCCUUCUAUCCUUUGUUCUUUCCUUUCGCCUCUUGGGAACUUGUACCACUCCGUGGACAAGUGAAGAAAGAGUUUCUCCAAUAGCUACUUUCAAAACCUACACUGCCGCAAUCGAAACUAUUUCCUAGCUACUUUCUUGUGACACUCAUUUCCAAAUUAUAGUCAUUGUAAAUGGACUCAAGCAACAUGGUUAGCUUAAUAGACAAAAAUUUAGUCAUAACUUGACUACCAAACUACCAUGGCUAACCCUAUCUCCAUACUUGGGCAUUGUUUUUUCUCUCUCACGUAUGUCAGAUCCUAUAACAGAGUUUUCCUUUAUAGUUAGGAAUUAACCUUCGUAUCUCUAAUAGUUAGCAAAAUAAAAUUUCUUCUCUUCGUGGAUCUUAUCAACGAAAAUUGUGUUAUGACAACCCACCAAGUCAGCCUCUUGCUAUUAUUUGUUUUUUCUUUUGUAGAUAAUGAUUGUUAUUAUUUAAUUGCAACUUGGAAACAUAAUUCUCUUCAUGUAUUAAUUAAUCACAUGAGUUCUCAAGAUUUGAAGGAAUAUUUUGUAUAUGGAAUAUACUGAAAUAUAUCCAAACACAUAAUCUGAAAUGAUGUUUAUGACAUAAUUAUUUAAAUAUAUAGCAAAUGGGAAAAGAAAAUAUUAUUGCUUUUCACAUGCCUUUUGUUUUAAUUUGUAAGCUUAAUUAAUUUUUAAAUUAAAUCUAAUAAAGUACUUCCUGAUCUUCAUCAUUUUAAAUAUAUAUACAAUUUGUUAAGAUAUAAAAAGAAAAAUAAAAAAGAAAAGAAAAGGAAUUUCUUGGUGCAAUGAUAGAUUGAAAUCUUAAUUUAAUCCAACAAUUACGAACGUAACCCAACACACGUAUUGAUUAUCAAUUUGAAAAUUUUCCUUUUAUGUUGUAGUAAUAGAGUUUGUUAAAUUUCUUACUUGAACACGCAAUUAAAAGUUUGAUCGUGCCACAAAUAAAAUAGCACACGCAUUUGUAUGAUUAGGUUGCAUGAACUAGAACGAGAAUUGAAUUUAAAUAGUUGUGUUAGGGUAGAAAAUUUAGUUUAUAGAAAUCUAAAUUUAGUAGGAUUUUAUUAUAAUUGCAUUGAAGUCCUCAAAGUGAAAAUAUUUUGGAAGAGGGGAUGGGGCAAAUAACAAAGUCCAGCUCAUUAGACAAUAAUACUAUUUUGUAUUGGACUAAGAUUUGUGGGUCAUACACCUUUGAUUACAUAAUAUAAUGUUUCGAGAAAUUUUCAUUUCAUAUAUUUUUCAACGUGAAAUAUUAAAAAAAAACGUUUCUAAAAAUAGUAAAAUAAACUAAAAUAUUUACGACAUAUAAUAAAAUUUUAGAUUUCAUCCAUGAAAGACUGAUAAAAGCGAAAUGAUUUCUCAUUAUUUCAAUUGAAGUAAUGAGCCUCACAAUAUUGUGAGGCUCAUUACUUCAACUAGUCCCCGUGUUCCUCGAAUGGAUCUUCUAUCAUUGUCUAUCAAUCAAUGUUUAUUAUUGAUAUAAUAAAAAAAUCUGCUAUAUUUUAUAAUUUUUUUUGUUAAAUUUAUUAUUAUUGUUAUUAUUUGACAUUAUCUUUUUUUUAAAUAGUAAAAUUUCAUAUUUUAUCAACAACUUAAAUUGACAAUAAUUUAUCUAUUUAAAAUUGUUAAAUUGUGUUCCUAUUCCUCGUGAUUUGUUAUAAAAUGCAUAUAAUUUUUUCUCUCAUUUUUUCCCAUAGUUUUUGUUAGAGAUUUAUUUUUAACCGGAAUAAGUAUUAUUGUUAUAUUAGGACUACGAUAACAUAGGCAUGAUCAUUCCUAGCAUGACGUGAUAUAAAAUGUGGUAGUGCGUUAUGACGUAAGCAUAAUGAUAGACUUUAUAUAUUUGCAAAGGACGAAUAGUUAAAUAUAUACGUACUUAUAAAUGUGUCAUUCAUAGAAAAAAAACAACUUUAAGACUAUUGACGGUUAAGGGUUUGAAAUUUAUUACUAAAUAAUUUGAAAAAGUAUGAGCUAUAUGCUUGAAAUCUUUUCGUUUGUACUUUUGUAAAUUUAACGAUUUAUAUCGUCCUUCUAAUUUCAUUUAAAAACAUUCUUUUUAUGUAUUUUUCUUAACCACGUUAUCUUAAUUCAUUAAUGUAUCUCUCAAUACACCUUUAAAAGGUUUUAAAGGUUCGAGUUAUUUUUUUCCCCUGAGAAUAAUAAUUCUUUAUGUUACUUUUUUUUUUUGUUUUGGUCUAAAGAGAAAGAAAGCAUAUGGCACACAUAAGAUAUGAUUUGAUGUGAAAAAGCAUAUACAUGUGUGUGAGUAUCAAAUAAAGUGAUAAAUGUAUUAAAAGAAGAAAGAAAUUAGGAAAAGUUAGGAGACAAUAUCAAAAUUUCUUAUCUUGUUUGUUGAGUUUUGUUUUGCCAUCUUUUCUAUGUUGGAAAGUGCUUAGGACAAAGAUUCUCUUUCACUUUUUUGUUAAUCAAAUACUAAACUCGUUUUUAAUUUAUUAGAGGAAGAUUGUAAGUAUAUAAGUGAGGAUUACUAUCAUCAGUGAAGUAUGAUUGUAAUUAUAUUCUAGAGGUUCAUUUGGAGUCCAUUUGAGAUCCCGAGGUGUUACAAUAGAGGAAAUUGCGUUUGAAAGUAGUUUUUCUCUCGUCUCUUUAUUUUUUCUUCUAGUUGUUGUAAUGUCAUAUGAAAAUAUGAUUGAUUUUAUUAUUUGAUUUGACUUUGGUAGUUUGCAAUCCUCCGUUUCAAAACUAACUACAUAAAAUCAUAUCAAAUCAUUGUUCAACAUAUGUCCAAUCAAAGUUUCUAUUUGUGUAACUAUUAGUAAUAGUAGUUAACAUCACAUAUCAAAAUUCACAUAUCAUCGAUAAUCAUUUAUAAAAUCGUUAGACACUACACAUGUAUAGACCUCUUGAAACUUACAAGGUCCCAAAUAUUAUUACUAUGCUACUACACAUUUCAGCAACGGUUUUAUUGAUUUGUAAUAGUGUAACGAUCUAAUUCUUUCUAUCCUAAUUAUAAACGAAGAACAAGUUUACUUUUAAGUAAAUGGAGAUUGAAUCUCGAUUUUGGAUAUUAGCUUUUGAGAAAUGAUUAUUUAUUUAGGAAAAAUCAAAUCAAUCAAACUUGCCAAUUUUUUUGGUUAAUCAUAUUGACUAUGCCUAUUAUUAAUUAUACAUCAAUUAUUAUGGCUUCCAUUUUGUAAAAUAUAGCCUCAAAGUUAUUGGACCCUACCUUAACAAAAAUAUUGUUUGUUCAAUUAUAUAGUUUUGGAUGAUUGGAUUUGAGAUCAUGUUUGAACACAAAAUAAUAAUAAAUCAAAAUAGACAUUUUCAAAAUCUUUUCUCCAAAUUUCAACCCUAAUUGUUAAAUAAACUUAUUUACUUUCCAAUCGAUUACUUAUAACGAUAGAAAUUUAUUUUUACGAUUUAUAAAAUCACUCUAAAACAUAUGAUGUUAAUGAUAAACGUUUAAUUUGCCUAUAUCAAUUUAUUUAGAAGUUAAUUUUUUUAUCGGAAAAUUUUAUUUCUCGUCUAAUAAAAAAGUUAUAAAAACUAAAAGGAUGAUGAGAGUUACAUUGUUAUGGCAUGAUCUUAGUUUUAUAAAGAGAAAACCUUUCGAAGAUGAUUUUUUUUUUCUACGUGAAUAGGUCGAGAAUGCAUGUCUUAAUCAUCUACUAAGUAUUUCAUCACAUAAUACUUGAUUUUGCAAUAAAUUUGGCUUCUUCGUAACAUUAAAUUCUUGUAGACAUGAAACGUUUUCAUAGAUACAACAUCAACAUAAAAAGUAUAUCGACACAACGUAUAUGUAUCCUUGUUAAAAUGUAUAAAAUAUUUAUAUACCAAUUAUUUUAUUUCAUUAAUAUUUUAGUAGAAUUUUGUUCAAAUUGAGGCCUCCAAAUCUAACUGGCUAAAGAAAAAUAUGAAAAUUUCAAUCAUUUUCCUCCACAUCAACACUACAAAACUACCUAAUAAUUAACUUAAAAAUCAUAUGGUUAUUAGUUCAAACCAACCCUAAUAAAUUCAUAUAAUCACUUGAAAAUAUUUAUAUUUUAGACAUUUAUGAAAUUAUUGUUGUGAAUUGCUUGAUGAUAAAUUGUUUAGGGCCCAAUAAUAGCUGGGCCAGGCCCAAAAAUAGUUGAGUAUGAUAGGAGAAAGAAACACAAAUCUUAUGGAUCCAAAUUUGUUUCUAAUUUUUCCCCUAAAGUAUUCUUGUAAUUUAGUGAUUUAAUUCUUAAUAAAUUACAAAAUUGGUUGGUUUGGUUGAACUUUGAGUUAACUAUCAAGGAAAAAUAAAACUAUUUGUUUUCUUAUCUUAAAGUUUCAAAAUAAACCUAAUAUCAACUCGAUUUUAGAGAUGGUAAUAAAAAAUUUAUUAAAGUUUUGGAUGAAUUGUUAUAAAAUAUAAAAAAAGUGUACAAAUACGUUAAGAUUAGUCUAGACGGAUGUAAACUAACCCGAAUAUUCGAACGGAGUAGUUUAAUAAAUUGCAUCCUAAAAAUGGACAUCAUUGUUUAGAAACUAAACAUAUAUGAAUUCUGAAAACAAAUCUCUAAAAAAUGUAUUAUGGAAAUAUUUUGAUUGCCUUUUUAUGUGAUUGUUACGUUAUUAUUAUUUUCUUUAAAGAAAGAAAUAAGCUUUUCAAGAUUUUUGAGUGAAGACUGAGAGAGUCUUGAUGAGCUUCUCCUUCGCUUUGUGAGUGAGGCUGGCGAAACCCAGAUCUGAAACCACCUUCAAGAUCUGAAUCUCCUUCGUAUCCUGUCAUUUCUAAGGAGCUUCAGACUCUGUAAACUUCUUCUCUUUUUUCUAAAUUCUUGUUCAUUUCCCAUUCUCAUUCACUUCGAUUCUGUGAAAUUUCCCGUUUUUAUGAUAUCUGAUACCUUUUUCUUGAAACCCAUUUGAUAUUGUAUGCUAAUAGUGUGUGUGUGUGUGUGUGUGUUUUGGUUUUUGGUUGUAUUCUGAUUUGGGUUUUUUUCGAGAAUUGAUGUCCCGCGUGAAGGUUGGAACUUUUUACCCUUUCUUUUCUCGGGCUGUUCUUGGUUUACUCUUCAUCUGCUUAAUGAUUUAAGUUACGUAAUUGGUUCGUAACAGUUCUUUUUUUAUAUAUCUAGAGUAGGAGAGUUGGUUUCCAGUGAACUUUGAAUUUCGUUCUGUUCUACUUCUAUUUAACCGAAUGUCUAUGAUUGUUGAAUACGUAUGAGUAACUCUUGAGCCAAGUCAAUGAGAUUCCGUAUGUAAAUUAGUUAAUUAGCCGUUUGGCAUUGAAGGAUUUAAUUGAUUUUGAUCAUUUAAUGUCAAUUUUUGAAAUGGGUAGUGGAUUCUUGGCUCAAUAUGUUAUGUUGCUUAAGUAGGUGGUUUCUACUUUAUUAGGUUGGUAUUGUUUCUCAACAUUUAUAUGUUUUUUUCCAGUUCUUGUGAAUUUGCAUUAUUGGCAAAAAAAAAAAAAAAAAAAAAAACCUUGAAUUUUGAGAGAAGUUGACAAUUCUUUGAGACAAAAUAGCAUAGCAAGAUGGUGAAGAAUUUUUAGCAAGUUUGACUGUACCGAGUUUUUUUGUUAAGUAGCUAAGACGUAGUGGAUACUGAGAAAGUAUGAAUUUAACUUGUCGACAUGUGUGAGCCAUUUCAUUGUUACUACCAGAGAAUCAGACAAAUAUAUAUGUGAACCGAUGCCUCUUUUUCUGAUUUGGAGUUCUGACAUAAAUUGGUGCGCCAGUGAAAACAUCUUACUUGGGAAUAGUGUUAUCAAUUGUUGAUAAAGAAGAGUGGCUUUGCAGGUUUUCACAAAAUCAUGUCAAGGAGGCCAGGAAAUCCUUCUCGGCGUCUUGUUGAUGGUGGGGGUCUUCCAUUUGUUGGAACAAUACAUUCUAAGACACGUUCAUCACCUUUUCUAACCAUAGGGCUUGUUCUGGUACUUUUUAUUUCUCCUCUCUUUUCCCUUUUCAGGAAUGGUUGUUACUUUUUGUUGUUGUGGUGGUGGAAGGGUGGUCAAAUGAGGAUCAAAUGACUGAAUAAAUGUUGCCGCCUCAACUCUUGGGAAUAGUAUUAUUAGCCACUAAUUUUAAUUUGCUAUGGUUAAAAAUUUCAGGGUGCUAUGCUUCUUGUUGGAUUUUGCUACCAUCAAUCAGGUUUUUAUUUUUUCGCUUAUCUUGACUUAUUGUUAAUUAAUUCUCUCUUUCUCAUUCCACAACCACGAUCAUCAUCAAUAUGCUUGUUUCUCUCCUUUAGGAUGUUGUCUCUGCAUUCCCUUUAAAUGAAUUUUAUGUUCACAGAAUCACAGUCACUGAAAUUUGAAUCCUUUCUGAAGUUUUCAUCACGAUGCCUACCCGUGUUAUAUUUUUGCAUGCAUCUUGAACUUAUUAACUAUAAUGUUUGGGACACUACAAACUUUAUUCCUUGUUUAUCACUGUGACUUCCAUGUAAUUCACUACCCCACGUUUCAAUUGAUAGCUUUUAGUAUUGCAACAUAUGGACAGCUCCUUGUCCUUAUAUUCUCCUCAUUCUAUUUUGGUCAUACUCUCUGCUGGAAAUGUUCUCUCAAUUGACUAAGUACUGUCUGAGAAUUAGUCAGAGUCACUGGUUUGGUCAAGUAGAGAUUUACACCUUAGACAUAGUAGUCUGACUGCAACUUUCGUAAGUACCCUACUGCACUGCCCCCUUAUUUCAAAAUUCAGGCUCCUAUCCUACUCAGUCUCUUUAAAUUUGAGCAUGGAUUGUGAUAUUGGAGAAACAGUUUCUCUUUGAUAGACGCUGCCCAUAACUUAUCACUUAAGUGACUUUGAUUAUCUUGUAGCAGCUGGUCCCUAACAAUGCUUGCCUUAGAUAGUUGGUAAAGAGACAUAUCAAUAGCUCUAGCUGAACUUGUACAAAUUCAUAAUGGAUAUCUCCUACUAGCAAAACUAUGUGAAACUGGUAGCCGAGAAUUAAGAAAAAGAGUAAGGGCAUGUUUUUGUGAUUGUGGACAAAUCUGUCGACUACACUGAUAUUCUUUUAUUAGUUUUUGUUGAUGUUGAUUACUGAAAAUUGUUCGGUUACUGAUGGCUUGUGAAUCUGUGAUGCUCCCUCUUUCCUUGAUGUAAUUACUGUAUUUGUUUGCUUAUUCAUUGUUGAUUUGCCUGACAGGUGGAUCAAGAAACGAUUUAGAGGCUGUGAGUAGAGUCGAAGGUGAAUAUAUUUACUUUUUAUGUAUUCUUGAGUAAAAGCAUAGUUUCACCAGAAUUUCAAGCCUGAAAUGCAAUUGAUAUUGAAGUGGAGGUAUUAUAAUUUGCCAUUAUUUCUUCUCCUUCCUUUACCCUCAGGCAUUAAACUAGUCAACAUGAUCUGACCACUGCGUGUUGAGACUAUAUUACUUAACAUUUUUUAUCUUUAUCUGCAUGCAUCCUAAAGUGAAUAUAUGACAUGUAGUUGAUAAAUGGCUGAACGAUCAAAGGGGCUGGGUUUAAUGGGUAAAGUCCACUUAAUUCGUCCAAAUGGUUAAUAGAACAUAGUGCCUUUGGCACUUGGGUUAUCUUUGAUGCAUCCUUAAUGUGACAAAGGCAUUAAAAACAGUGGAAGAGAAUUAAUGAUUGUUUUAUCUUAUUCAGAUCGAUUUAUUUUUGUUAAUCAUAACCGUCUGUAGUAAUUGUAAAAGGCAUUUCUCCCCAAUCAAGUAUGAGAGUUAAUGCAUCAUAUAUCUUAUUUGAAGAUCUCAAGCAUAUAUAUGUCAUAUAUGUAGGUAGUACAUCGUGCACUGUAGAAGUCCAACGAGCGAUUCCCAUUCUAAAGAAAGCAUAUGGAGAUAGCAUGCAUAAAGUAUUGCAUGUAGGGCCUGAUACUUGCUCAGUGGUGUCUAAAUUGUUAAAAGAAGAGGAUACAGAAGCAUGGGGUGUGGAGCCCUAUGACUUAGAUGAUGCUGAUGCCAGUUGCAAAAGCCUUGUGCGGAAGGGUAUCGUGCGUGCUGCUGAUAUUAAGUUUCCCCUGCCAUAUAGAGCAAAGUCCUUCUCUCUUGUCAUUGUUUCAGAUGCAUUGGAUUACUUGUCUCCCAGAUACCUUAACAGAACUCUUCCAGAACUGGCAAGGGUCUCUAUUGAUGGUGUUGUUAUAUUUGCCGGUAAACCACUGUUCAUAAAUUGUAAUCCUGUGGUUUUCCUUUAUCUAAUUUAUAAUCCACUCGUUCACUCUGUGAUAGAAUUGCAUAAGAAGUAAAAACUCAGUGAAGCAAUUGUUUAAUAGUCUUUCAUAGUUCUUUUUCUCAAUCAUGAUCUGUGAUCUUCUUUAUUUUGUGUAUAUUCUGAUAUCUUCUCUUUACAAUUUUGCAACUUGUGGUACAUGAGUUAAUUUUGAUGGAUAAAAAUUUCAACAUUUUCUAAUAAAUCUCGUCUCGAAUUGUCCCUUUUUGUCUUUAAUGAUUGUAUUACGUUAUCAACUGUUCUCUCGUAAGUCCUAAUGACCAAAAAACUUCUGAUUGUUCCUCCACUUUUUGGUCUAAAUUUCUCUAUUUACUUCAAUUAGUCUAGAUUGGUUGAUUUUGUUUCUCUCCUUUCAAUGUUGUUUCAAUUUGUAGGUUAUCCAGGUCGGCAAAAGGCUAAAGAUUCAGAACUACCCAAAUUUGGACGUCCGGUAAGUACCUUCUUCUACUCUAGAAAGGUAGUUAGCAAUAAUAGUAAUUGAAUUGAAAGACACUGAAUGAAUAGAAUACGAAGCUUUCUAGAAUUUAGUUAUAGCUUGGAUACAUUCUUUGGGUUGUUUGAUGACUAGUCUGGCCACGGAUUGUAACCAAUAGGGCUACUUUUAAUUGAUCUACAAAUAGAAGAACCAUCAUAUGAACAUGCGACGUGUUCUAAACUAGACUCCUUCAUUCAAGGAUACAAAUUCACUUUGUGAAUUCUGUUGCUCUUAUCGUACUCCUUGGAAACCGAUCCUGGUAGGUACUACUCGUAAUUACCCACUUACAAAAUAAAUCUAUGUAUACAAAAUUGAUUCAUUGCUUCCUUGUUGUAUUUCGAGCCUAUUUUCCAAGCAGUAAAACAAUCUGAGAUGAGAUAGAUGAUAACAUGCACUGAGAUAAAUAUUUGCUUGUCAUGAAGGCGAAAUUGCGAAGCUCGUCAUGGUGGAUAAGGUAUUUCGUUCAGACAAGUUUAGAUGAGAAUGAAGCAGUGGUAAAGAAGUUUGAUCAAGCUGCAACUAAGAGGUCCUACAGACCAGCUUGUCAAGUUUUCCACCUCAAAUCCUACUCUUGAGAAUAUCAAAGCUCAAAACUGUAUUUCUACUCAACAUAUUUUCAAGCUUGUUUUGUUUUUGCACAAAGUGCUUAGAUAUCUUUUCUUUUCUCUUUUUCUUCUUCCCUUCCCUCUUAAAAAGUUACAUGGAAACUGAAGAGCUAUAUUGUAUGUUUAGAUAAUUGUCUUACAUUAGCUCCCUAAUUCACAAUGCCAUUUUCAGUUGAGCAAGUUGAAUACAAGCAUUUCUCUAAAGAUGAGGUUUUAGUAACGUGCAUGCAUCAGUUAAAGCAAUGUUUUAGCAGUAUACCAAACGAGAACUCCAAGCUUAACGAACCAAUGCAGCGCAACUCUACUCUAUUCUAUCUUAACAUUGGACACUAACUUUGCUUAAUUCAACAUCACGUACAUAGAAAAUUAUUACCAAGUAUCAACUCAUUCUGCAUCAGAUAGACGUAUACUACACAGACAACUUGUAAUAUUUUAAGAACUAAACCCUAUAUAGUCAUGGGAGAUGAUUGAAUCAAACCUUAUUGAGAUUAUCAAAGUCUAAAGGUGCACCCACAUCAAUUUCUAUUAUUUUAGAAACUACAAUUUUCUUCAUUCAUAUUGUAGCUUUGAAAGUAAGCACAUGGCCACCCACCAACAUAACUUUUUUUUUUUUACCUCCUUAAUUUGUGGUCAAUUUGUUUACUACUAUCCCUCUCUCUUCAAUCACCAUUUUCUUCAUAUACCCAAUACCCAUAAUUCAACAUUAUUGUGUCACACCUCUAUAAUAUAGUUUGAAGGUUAUAUUUUUGUUAAAUGGAACAAAAUUUCUUCCUUAAUUUUAUAUGGAUUGCUAUUAGUUUUUCCAAGAAAACCAAAUCUAAUGCUCUGUACUUAGUUGAUAAUUCUUAAUCUAUUCCCUUGAUUUAUGGUCAAGUAAUUAAUUUAGUUAAUCCAACAAAUACAUAUAGUUUUCCUCUCUAAGCUACACUUCGGAAUAUAUAUCUUUCCAUUUUUCUCCUCUUUAAAUUAUCUUCGACAAUCAUCCAAUAAAUUCUAUUAUGGUAAUUUGAAUUUAAUAAAAACAGAAGUUUGAAUAUAUAAUAAAUCAAACCAAGGUUUACACAAGGAGUUUUAUCAAAAGUUUUAAAAUGAAAUAAAUUUUUAAAAGGUUUUUUUUUCCUCUGUCAUUGGUUUGCCCUAUAUUGUCAAACUUAAUGGUGUGUAUAUUUGUUUUCCCCCCUUAAAUUCUUCCAAAAACAUUAUCUUUUUCAUGUUCAAAUAACUUGCUUCUUGCAUACUCCAUACAAUUUGGGAAUAUAUUGUCUUUAUUUGUGGAUGAUCAUGAGAAAAUCUUUGAGUUUCUGAAGUUGACAUAUUGAUGAAAUUAUUAUAAGAAACUACAAUAGCCAUAGCUUGCAUGCAACAAUAGUUAUGUAUAUUUAAUUAGAUCAUCAAACAAGAAUAAGAUAAUCAAACCCUAUUUUCCAAUUCAACUAUAUUAACAAUGCUUAGCUUAGCCUAAUACAAGCCACCUAGCCCUUUUUUUUAUAUAUAAAAAAAGAAAUGUUAUAAAAUAAUAAAAUAGUAGAUGAAAUUAAUAAAAAUUGUAGUCCCGAUAUGUAUUUAUUCAUUAGAUUAACUUCAUUUUAACAAAACAUGAGUGUAGGUAUCAAUUGUUUUUGCACUCAAAUAUCUCAACUAUAUUUGCACAUCUUUAGCAUUCUCCUCAUAUCUCAUUGACAAUAAAUCUUUAUGGAUGGAUAAAGGAUACAAAGAUCGACGAGUUUAAUUAGAUGACAAUUUGAAUGAUCAAAUUAUAAGAAAGAAAAGGGGAGAUGUUGAGAAAGCAUGUUGUCAAGUUGAGAAAUGUCAAUAAGAAAAAGAAGAAGAUAAGGAGAGAGACAUACACACUCUCACAUGGGCAAAGACAGAAGCACUAUUGAGAGAAUGACUUUUGAUCACAGUUCAUUAAAUAUUAAACAAAACAUUUUGAUAUGAAAUUCAACUGUCUAGAGAUUGUUAGUUAUUUAUAGCCAUGUGAGCCAAUCACGAUAGCUUUUUGUUUUCCAUAAUUUAAAGCUAUGUUUGCGCCACAUUUUUUGGUGACACUUUCUUUUCAUAUUUACCAUUUACUAUCUCUAAAUAUGUUAGUUAUAUAAAAGCCUCCCCCCACUUGCUUCAUUAUAUUCAACAACAACCAUACAUAAUAAUCCUCAUCUUCAGAAUAAUUAUAGAUGAGACUACGAAAAUCUAAAAUUCUAAAUUUGUUGGGUUUGACGGAGUUUGAAAUCUAUAUGGUUUAGUAAAUAAGAUAUGAUCUUUUUUUCUAAGAGUCCAAGAUUUAAUCGGUCAUUAGUAUCGUAGUUGUUCUUAGAGUUAAAACUAAAGAAUAAAGUUUAGGUUCUUCGUUCGUAAUAGUCAUUAGUUUGCUAAUACUAAUUAUGAUGUGUUUUGUUUUGUUAUCUACGUACUUUUUAACUAAGAGUGUUUUUAGAAAGGUAAUGUAUGUUUCUAAAACGUAAAAAGUGGUUGUUUUUGUUUGUGGAAUUUGGUUAAUAAUUCAAUGUUUCGUUAGAAAUGAAAAACUAUAUCAAUGAGAUGGUAAGAUAACAAGCAUAAUUUUAUAAAAUAAAAAAUGAUUUGAUUAAUUACCAUAAGAUGCAGUGAAAGAUCAAAACUUCAACCUAGAAAAUAUAUACCUCAAUAACCAAUAUAUAUUGCUCAUAUUAAUAUUUAUGUUUGUGAAUAAAAGUGUAGAGAACCAAAUAAUCUUGCUUUGAUUAAAAGUGAAAAAGGAAUGAAAAGCUUAUGAGUUAAAUUAAAAUUAAACUACUUAUGAUAAACCUUUCAUUUCAUUUCUAAAUGAUGAUCAAGAUUCCUACUUCUAGCCUUUUAUUUAAAAGUUAUAUGUAUAUACUUUUACCCACUCGAAAUAUUUGAUGAAUAGUAUAUAAAUUGUUAUACAUUUAAAUAAUCUAUAUGAUUGUUUCUAGAUCAUCUAUCUCUUGAGAUUAAAUGAGAACGCAUUCAACACUUGUAUCUUUUCUUUAGUUCCACACUAGGAGAACAAAAAUAGAAUUACAAGACUCAUCCUCUCUAUAAAUAAGAGUGCUGCUCCAAAAAUAACAACACAAGAGUUGUAUCAAGAAAAGAAAGAGACAUCAAAAGAUAUGCCAUCGCCCAAGCUUCUUCUGAUCUCCUUCAUGAUGAUGGGGUUAAUAACCCAGCUAGCCUCCAUCACCCUUGCUCAAAACUCCCACCAAGACUUUGUCAAUGCCCACAAUGCCGCCCGAGCAAAGGUCGGCGUCGGGCCAGUCUCUUGGAACUACACCUUAGCUGCCUAUGCCCAAACUUAUGCCAACAAGAAGAUUGGCACUUGUGAGAUGCAACAUUCCUAUGGUCCUUAUGGUGAGAAUUUAGCCGAAGGGUAUGGCGAGAUGACGGCGGUGGAGGCUGUGAACUUCUGGGUGAGUGAAAAGAAGUACUACGACCAUCAUUCCAACCGGUGCAUCGGUGACGAGUGUCGCCAUUAUACACAAGUAGUGUGGCGGGGCACCAAGCAUGUGGGUUGUGCUAGAGUGAAAUGUCACAACAAUUGGAUCUUUGUGAUAUGCAACUAUGAUCCUCCUGACAAUUAUGUAGGCCAAUUUCCUUACUGAAAUUAUAAUUAAGAUAUUGAAAACUUGAUGAACUACCCAUAAUUGUGAUUCAAAGAUAAUGAUGUUAUUAUGAUCUUUACAAAUUAUCUUUUGGAACUAUAAUGAUAUAUUAUGCAUAGACAUUAUGUUGCCCAUCAUUUGGUCCUACCAUUUGUUUUUCUCUUUAAUUAUAAGUACAUCUUUUCAUCGAAAAACAAUCCCCAUGGUUGUGAACUUUGAGUUUAUCUCUUGGUUGCAAUAAUAUUUAAAACAAUAUAUAUUGAAUCGUUAGCUAAACCUGUCCAUUAUCAAUGAGUUGAUCAUAAUUUUUUCUUUAAACAAAACAUUAAAGGAAUCCAAAUAUUUGACUUAAUAAGGAUAUGAGUUAUUGAAUUAAACUUGAUUUACAUGUAUGUAUUUAUAUAUAUAUUGUAUUUAUUCCCCACACACACAUCAAGAUACAUAUAAUAUUAAAAGAAAGUUUGAUAGAAACCGAAAGGAGUAGUUAUAUAUAUUUAUUUGCUUUAAAAAUGGAAGUUACGUUGGAUUACAAAUGGAAGCCAAGAAACAAGUGGAGCCUAAACCAAUAUGUCUAAUUAAAAAAGUGAAAGUGAAAGUGACAUAUUAUGGGAUACCAUAUAUAAUCAGUGUAAUUCAAAAGAAAAGUUUAUUUUAUGGAUACAAUUUAUUGCCCUUAAGAGUUUAUCACUAAUAUAUUAUUUUGUCAUUAUAUUGUUGCAAUCACUUAAAAGAUUAACUAAUAUAAUAUAUGAGGCUAAAUACACUUCUUUAUUAGCUUUAUUAAAGUUCUAUUAAUUACCUAUUGCAAUUACCCAACAAGUUAUGUAUAUUACAAUUAACAAUUGGUAUAGGGUCUUUGGCCCAUGACAAAAUCCUCAAAAUGGAAGAGAUUCUAGUUGUCCAACACUGAAAAAUUAUAUUAUAAGUUGGAAGAUGAGUAUAUAUAUAUAUAUAUUAUAGCUCUUUAAGAAAUUUGCAAAAGUGGAUAGAGAACCAUAGUUUAGUUUCUCUCCUCCCAUGCAGUAAGAUAAGUGAGUACUCAACCUAACCAUUAUUUGAAUCAAUACAUACUUAAAGUAAACAAAAGCUUUGUUUUGUUGAACAAGAAGGGGAUGUAGCUCAAAUGGUAGAGCGCUCGCUUUGCAUGCGAGAGGUACAGGGUUCGAUACCCUGCAUCUCCAUCACCUUUUUUUUCUUUCUUUAAUUUUAACUUACUAUAUUUUUGUUAUUUUUUAUAAGAUUCUAUACUCAACCACGAGACAAGAUCAAGGACACAAAAAUGAUAUAUUUUUGGUGCUAUCGAAAUUAGGAGUAUAAUUUGAAAUUUUGUAAAGGAACUAUGUUUAUUAACACAUAUAGAUAUAUGAUCAUUAUAUAUUCUUUACAAGUAAGCUAAAUAAAAGAAUUAUUCAAAUGGGUAGCAAUUAUAUCAUGGAAAAUAUUCAAUAUUAUAUUCAAAAUAGUGUAGUUAAAAUUGUUGACCAUAUGAACUAAUUUGAUUUUACCAUCCACACAAUAUUCUUCAAUUACCCAAAAAUUGAGGGAGUUUCAAUGUGCCUCCACUUUUGUCUGUCUUCAUGUAUUUCCAUCCCAAACAAAACAACUUACUAAAAUAGAAAACCCACACCAUUUGAUGUGUUCUUCAUAUAAAUACCCAAAACCCAAAACACAAAUUAAUCUCCUCAACCAAACUCAACAAUACCCAUAAUAAUCCUUCAACUAACCCUUCCUUCAUUGAGAAAACAAAAAGGCACAACUUAAAUACCUUAAGAGAUGACAUCUACGACUAAGUUUGUUUUUGCAUUUUGUGUUGUUGGACUAUUCCUAAUCUUAGCUCCAAUAUCUCCCACCCUUGCAAACAGCACCCCCCAGGACUUCGUCGAUGCCCAUAAUGCCAUCCGUGCCAAGUAUGGCGUCGGUCCGGUCACUUGGAACAAAACCAUAGCCAGUUAUGCUGAAAAAUAUGCCAAAACUAAAACCGCUACCUGCGAGAUGGAGCAUUCUAUGGGACCUUAUGGAGAAAACUUGGCCGAAGCAUUUGAGAAGACAACAGCAGAAUUGACAGUGAACUAUUGGGCUAGUGAGGAUAAAUUUUAUGACCAUAAAUCAAACAAGUGUGUUGAGGAAGAGUGCGGCCAUUUCCUUCAAAUUGUGUGGAAGGACACAACAUCGAUUGGUUGUGCAGAAGUUAAGUGCAACAACAACUAUAUUUUCACUAUUUGCAACUAUUAUCCUCCAGGAGGGUAUCCUGACCAACUUCCAUACUGAAAACAUGCAGAUUAACAGCUGAUCAAAAUAACAGGACCGGGUCAAGGUCGAUCGGCCAAUGAAUUUUGUAUUAUUAUUAUUAUAUAAGUCAUGGAGAUGUCCAAUCAUCGUCUGUACAUUUUUUAUUAAAUAUAUAUAGGGUUAUGGUUUUUUUCCUCAUAUGUGAUGCGAGUUUCAAUUGCAUUAUUGCUAACCUUUUUGCAUGCAAUACAAAAUUAUUGCUUGAAUUAUAUCUAUUAAUAAUUUCAAUUGAAUUCUAAUAUGUUGUUCUUUUUAAUUAAUCAAGCAAACCCACAUAGUUGAGUCUACAAAAUUAGAAUUAUUAGGCUCAUGAUGUCAAAGAGUAAAGAAACUUCAUUAAAAUAAUAGAAAAGCUAAGACAUUAUUGUAACAUCUUUGGACUAUGGAAGGUGAUGAAAUGGAAAACACAAGAGGGGAAUAUGGAUAAUAUUGAGCUCCUUGAUGUCAAAUUUAUCACAAUUUUCUCUUUUGUUAAAGUGAAGAUUGAUCAAUUAUUAUAAACCUAAGAUCGAUUUAUGGAAUGUAUAAUGAAUAAAUAUUUAGAAUGAAGAGAAUCAUGGAGAAGUAAUUCCUAAUUUUUUUAUUUAAUAUUAUCACACUUUAACUCUCAAAGCUUCCUCAAACAUGGAAGAAGUUAGAUAGGCUAAUUGAAAACUACAAAUUUACAUGUAACACAUCGUUGUUGUAACGUGAGUUUUGAAAGGUUCUUGAACUUCUUAAACUUUUCUAACACUAACUUAGAAACACAUUGUAGGUUAAUAAUUAUGGAUAGUUGCAAAUUUAGCAAUUAAAUUCAAAAUAAUUAAGUAUAUAGCAACAUUUUAAAAUUUUUAACACGUUCUAUCAAUGAUAGAAGUCUAUCACCUAUACACUAUGUUGCGAAUAUUGGUUUAUCAUACGAGUCUAUCAGCGAUAGUUUUGCUAUAUUUACAAUUUUUUUAAAAUGUUGCUACAUUCUUAAUUAUUAUUCCUAAAAUGGCCAUCAAUUACAAUUUCCUUUAAAAAAAAAUGAAUAUCCAAUUGUUGAAUUUAUUGUGUUGGGUUGGCCAUAACCAUAACCAUUGAUUUCUUAAUGCAUUGAAAAAGCUAUGACCAAUGAAAAUUAAAUAUAUAAUACUUAGGUCGUAGCACAAGACCCGAUGAAAAUGUAUAUUUUAAUAACUUUUUAACCUAACUCAACUCAUAUAAUUCGGAUUGGAUAUAGUUUGGAUUGGGGUUUGAUGGGUUACCUAUUUUGGUUUUUUUUUUUUCUUUUCUUUUGAAUAUUAACCAAAGUUGAAAAUCUCAAUCCACACACUAUUAUUCUAUGAUUAGUAAUUUAUAUUGAAGAGAGAAGAAAUUAUGGUUUUUCUUUAGUAAGUACCCUUCUAUUAUUAGACAUCUCCUUUGUCUUCCAAAACAAAUACCCCUAAAAUUAGAACUAUACCCCAUCUCUCCUUCUUUACAUAAAUACUCUACCCUAAGCCAAACCCCAAACUGCAAAAAUAAUCUUCACAAAUCCCAUAUAAUCAAUAAGGAAUUCUUUCAACUACUUAGCUUAGAGCUGGACGAAUCCAUCAUUUAUAAAUAUGGGAUUUGCCAACAUUCUCUCCACCCUUUGUUUAUUGGGGCUAACCCUAACCCUAACCCUAACCCUAACCCUAGCUUCUACUGCUCCCAGCUUGGCCAAAAGCUCCCCCAAAAACUACAUUGACGCACACAAUGCCGUCCGUGCAGCGGUUGGCGUCGAGCCUCUUCAUUGGAACUCGACUUUGGCUGAUUAUGCUCAAAAUUACGCCAACACGAAGAUCGCUACUUGUCAAAUGGAGCACUCGGGAGGACCGUAUGGCGAAAACCUAGCAGAGGGAAACGAAGUAAUGACAGCUGAGACAGCAGUGAGUCUCUGGGCCGACGAGAAGAAACAUUACGACUACAAUUCGAAUACGUGCAGCAAUGACCCUAGCAAUUGCCUCCAUUAUACACAGUUGGUAUGGAGUAACACAAAAUCUGUUGGUUGUGCACAAGUGAAAUGCCAAAACAAUUGGGUGUUUUUGAUAUGCAGCUAUUAUCCUCCAGGCAACUAUAAUGGCCAACGUCCAUAUUAAACUUUUAGAGGGGUGAGUACAAGCUAAGGCUUCUUUUUUAUUCAUUAGAAACUGUCUAAAGAAAGAAGAAACAAAAUUGGAGAGAUUUGUUCUUUAAAAAGUAUUAUAUUUUAACUAUUACUACUACUUUUUAUAAUUGACUCUAUUCGGAUUAUAUUUUUAAUCUGAAAGAUCAAUUGUAGAUUAUGGCUUUCUUGCUGCUUGGGAUAGCAGUUUGUAAUGCAAACAUACAAAUAUUUUUUGAAUCAUAGUAAUUUCAAGUAUUAUGUGUAUGUGUUUUAUAAAAUUUUGUAAACUUUAUGAUUUAUAUAUGCAUUAACUAUAUAAUUAAAAAGAAAAAAGAUUAUAUAGGAUGCAUCUAUUAUAAAUAAAAAGAAAAGGACUAAACUAUAUAUAGGAUAACAAAGAUGGAUAGAAGUCUAUCCGUGAUAGAAACGUACAAGUUAAAAGGAAUUGUCUCGAAAUACCUUGAAGGUUUGAAUAAUUAGUUAAGAGGAAAAUGGAGACAAAUCAGCAUAAUAAUUAAAACCAAACGUACAAGUUAAGCAAAUGGCAUAUGAAUAUUCUAAAAUAACAUAAGACAAUAUUAUAUGAAAGUGAUUGGGAGUCACAUGUCCAAAGUACUUUUUAUUAACACCAUGAAUUGAUUCUCAAAUUAAAGAAAAAAUAAAACAAUUGGUGUAAGUUUUAUUAUUCAACUGUUUAGUUUAGGGGUUUGUCAGUUUAUGAGACAUGUGAACCUAUGACACACCAACCCCAACCUUUAAUCCUUCUUCUUUCUUUCACUUUUGAAAUAUAUGCUUAGUUUGAUGAACAAUUCCCCUUUUUAUUAAAUUACUUUAUAACAUUAUCAAUUAAUAUAAGAAAAAUGAUUGUAAAUGAUUUUUUUAGAAAAUGAUACGUUUGGACCCGUAAGUUCAUCAAAGCAUUCCUGCUAGAUGGGUAUCCCUUUUAGCACAUACAUCAUUCCAUCAAAUAUAUUCAAUAAACAUAAGGGAGUACAAAAGUUCAAUACAGCGCAUAGAAAGCUAGAAAAAACUAUCAAAUGAGAGCAUAUAUAUUUAGAACUAUGACCGUAGAAAAGUACAUAUUAAAAAAAGAGCUUUUGAAGGACCAUAGGUCGAUGAUGUUGCAGGUGUCUUCCCACCGAAUGAUUGUAAAUGAUAAAACUACUUAAUAUUUAUAUAUAUAUACACGAAAAUUUUUAAAUUCUAUCCCUAAUUAAUUAAUUUUAGAGUGUUAUCAAAUAUUAUUUUUUAAAAAAGGGUCACCAAAUACAAUUAUCUUCAUUUUUCUUUUGUAUUACUACCUACAUGCUUUUUAUUAUUAUUGUUGUUGUCUUUCUUCUAAUAAUGUUUUUCAAAAUCUACCUCAAGCUAUAAAAUUCUAAAAACGUGAUUCUCAAUUUUUAAAAAAAAAAUAGAAUUGGACUAAGAUAUGAAUUAUUUCUUCAAGAAAAUGUGAAAAUCAUAGUUAUAAUUUAAAAAGGAAAAAAGAAAAACUAUUGAGAACACAAUAUUGUUUUUCAAUGUAGACUUAGUUUUGAAGAGAGUUAUUUCGAUAUUGCCAUCCUCAUAUAUAUAUAGUUCAUAUCAUAAUAUAUUGUUGAUUAUCUAAUUUUAUCCAAAAAAAAAAAAGUCCCGAUAAAAUUAUCUGAAAACUAUAUUUUACAAUAUUUUCAGCAGUUUUUAUCUUUUACAAUAAUUUAUCUUUCCUUAUAUAUAGUUUUGGUAUUUUUUUUUCUAGAUUAAAAAAUUAACAUGUCUAUUUUUCUUUUAAAUAUAUGAAAUUAUAAUAUUUAAUUCAAUAAAACUCAACAAAUUAAUAAACACAAGAAGUGUUCACUUCAUAAAAAUGUUGGGAUGUACUUACUAUAACGUUGGUAUCUUUUAUUAAAAGUAACUUGAAUUAUUGUGUUAUUAUUGCUGUUAUCUCCUCCUUGAGAAAAAGGAUGGGUGAGGUUUUUUUUCUCCAAUAAACACAUCCUCAUAUAAAAUACACAUGUGAACCUUUUUUUAAUCUAAAAAAACCCAAAAGAAAUGCAUGUGAACUUCACAAGUGAUGUAUGCCCAUCUUUUAUUUAGUAUAUAUAUACAAAUGAAAUAUUGUAUUCAUUACUGUCCAAUGAUUUGUUAUAGCAUGGAAAAUCUUAUCUGCCAUUAAUUAUAUCAAACUUUGAAAAUUAUUAAAUCAUAAACUAAAUCAAAUGUUUAUAUAUUUCAUUAGUUAAAAUGUUCAUAUAUAUAUUCUCUCCAUGUAUUAAAAUAAAACUAUAGAGUAUUCAUAUGCAUAUACAUAGGUUAUGGGCUAGUAUUUCAUAAUAAACCAUAGAAAUUUGAUGGCAAUUAGAAAAGAUAAAAACAGACACUAUUAAUGAUGGGAGGGACAAUUUUAUACCAAAUAAAGAGGCAAAUUUUAUCAACAAAAGCAAGUCAGAUGACACCAUGUGUUUGGCCCAUAUAUCUACAUAAUGUGCCAUUAUUUGAUUGAAAAAGGAUGCAACAAACUAUAUUAGAAAAUUACCCUCUCUCUUUCAUUUUGUCUUUCUCUUUAAACAAUUCCCCAACUACAGAUGCAAACCACUAACCCCCACCAUCUCUUUCUUCUCUAUAAAUACCCUUUAUACCAUGCAUACACCAAAUACAAAAGAAUAUUCUCCUCCAAACCCCCCAGAAAAUGGUUUCCUCCACCAUUAUUCCCUCUACCAUUUUCUUGGUAAGUUUCCUCCUGGCUACUACCAUCUCCAAUGCCCAAAACUCCCCCCAAGACUUCGUCGAUACGCACAACGACAUCCGAGCGGCGGUAGGUGUUGGCCCAGUCUCCUGGGACGACACUCUAGCCGCCUAUGCUCAGAGUUAUGCUGAUAGUAAGAUGGAUACUUGUGAGAUGGAGCACUCCAAUGGACCCUAUGGUGAAAACCUAGCUGAGGGGUAUGACGAGAUGACAGGGGUGGAGGCGGUGAGGUUCUGGGCAACUGAGAAAAAGUUCUACAACCACCAUUUGAAUCGAUGCGUGGGGGACGAGUGUGGGCACUAUACACAAAUAGUGUGGAGGCACACUACAAAUAUAGGGUGUGGUAGAGUGAAGUGUGAGAACAAUUGGGUCUUUGUGAUCUGCAACUAUAAUCCUCCUGGCAACUAUAUUGGCCAACAUCCUUACUGAUAAUAUAUUAUAGAAGUUUAGACUUUAUUAGAAAUAACUAUAUGAUGUUCUUAAUGAUAAUAUAUUAAUAUGCAUCUAUGAUAAGAAUAUUAAAUAUGUAUAAAAAGUAUAAAUCGAUAUAGUCUUUGUUUGGUUGAUUAUUUAAUACGAACCAACCAAAUUGUGUCAGAAAAGUUAGAAGAGGUAUAGACGUGACAUUAAUGGUUUUGAAGUUCAGUCAAUAUAUAAUAUUUGUCACAAUCAAAGUAGAAAGAGUUAAAGAAAGGGAUUGAAUUUUCCUUGUGUUGUAUUACGUGGACGACAAAUCGAAAGAGUUAUAGAUAUAAAUUAGUUCAGUUUUUUAACUUAAAUUUUAUUUGUCACAUAUCUUUUAAAUUGAAUUAAUUGUUGGUGGAAUUCCAGAGUCUACCAAAACAAUGGUAAAUAAAAAAUAUAUCAUAAAUUGUUUGAUUUUAUGUAGGGGACAUACGAUCAAACAUAUAUAAAUGAUAAAAUAUAAUAGGUACAUGGGUUCAUAUAAGCUCAAAAAUUAAACUCUAAAAGAAAGCCUAAACAUUGACAUUGACAUGCAUGUUCUUGUAACUUCUGAGAUAAAAGAAAAGAACAAGAUUAAUGAAGUGAAUGCUCACUCACAUGCAUGGGCCAAGGAAGAUAUUGUAUAGUGUGUUAUAUAUAUUAUAAUAAAUAAAAUCAUGACUUUGCAUUGGCAGCCGUAAUCUUUAUACAUAUAUAUAUAUAUAUAUAUAAACUUUGUCAGUUAUGGGGUUGUAGCAGUGUAGCCAUGUGAACCAAUGAGCCAAUACUCGAUGUUGACACAUUACUACACCAACAAAAGAUAAUAAUGAUUAAGUGCAGCGAGUUGGCGCUGCAUCUACCACACGAAAAAAAAUAAAAAGAUGACACAAGAUAGUAUAUAUUUUGUUAGAUUAUAUAGAUGAGAUGCAUGAUGAUAGUAGCUUUUUCUCUUAGAAAAAUCUGUCACUGCAUUUUUUUUGUAUUUAACAACAAAACAUUAGAAAAUUUUCAAAAAUAUUUCAAUUAAGUUGAUAUAGUUUUAAUACUUUGAUUGUAUUAAUAUUCAUUAAUUAAAAAAGAAGAAAAAGAGGCGGAGAGAGAGGCUUAGCUAUUGGGGAUAUAUUUAUUAUUCUCAUGUUGUUUUUCAUUUGAUUUUAGUUGUUGAAAAAUAGUGUCCAUGCUUAAGAUAUAAAUGGUAAUGUUAUUUUGUAUUAAGUGAACAAUGAUAAUUAAUAUUAUUUUGGAGAUUAGAGUGUGGUUAAGAGUAGGGAUUAUUCAUUAGUUAAUAAAAGGAUGUUGUGUGCACUUUGGUUAUAUACAGAAUUGUCCUAUAUGAUGAAUUUAAGAUUAUAUAAGAGCUGUUUUUUUAAAAAAAAUUAAUCAAAGAAAUAAAUAUUUUAUUUCUUUUGAUAUUUUUUAUUUUUAUUUUCUUUCAUAUAAAAUUGAAAGAAAUAAUCAAAUUCUGUUUUUGCUUUCUACAAAUUUUCAUAAACUCAUAUUUUUUGUUAAAAUUUUCACUCGAAUAUAUACUUGCAAUUAAUUUUGUAUGUUUGAAAAUAAUUUAAUUCCCCCUUCUCCAGUUGAACUAAAGAGAGAAAAACUUCAAGAGCAGAUGAAGAAAAAAACUUGGAGAAUAGAUUAACUAAAUUAAGGUCAUCCAUUCUUAGAUUUUCAUGCUGCAUAUCAGACCACUACACUUGAUUUGUAUCCAACCAUAAUUAACUCAAAACCAUUCAUUCUCCCUACAAAUAACCCUUCACCAAACAAUGUACUCCAUCCUCACCUUGUGCCUUUCACAUUCGUCUUCCUUUCUUCCAUCAAACCCUUAAGGAAGAUGUCGAAAAUGGCACUCGCCACCACUCUCUCUGCCCUUUGCAUCGUUGCACUAGCCCUAACCCCAAUCGUCAUUGCUCAAAACAGCCCUCAAGACUUCUUUGACGCGCACAAUGCAGUGCGAGCCAAGGUCGGGGCUGAACCCCUCUUUUGGGACGAAGAACUUGAAGCUUACGCUAAAAAUUAUAUCACGUCGAAGAUUAAAACUUGUGAAAUGGUGCACUUUGUUGGCCCUUAUGGUGAGAACUUGGCAACAGCGAACCCCGUGUUAACCGCAGCAGCUUCAGUGAACACAUGGGCAGCCGAGAAGAAGUACUAUAACCAUAACUCGAACAAAUGUGAGGGAGGCGAGUGCCGACAUUAUAGACAGUUGGUGUGGAAGAAUAGUUUUUUGGUGGGUUGUGCUACUGUUAAAUGCAAGAACAAUUGGUCUUUAGUCUCAUGCAACUAUAGUCCUUCUGGGAAUGUUGUAGGUGAGCGACCUUAUUAGGUGAUGAUCAAAUAAUAUUAUUCAUUUCAUUUACUUAUAAUAUGAAAGGAAGAUUAUAAUGUAAUGAUUUUUUUUAGCAGAAAGCUUUAUAUCCAUUUGGACUUCAUUUAAACCAUUAUGUCAAACAUUAUUCCUUGUAUAUAUGUAUAGUUUUUUGCUUUAUAUUACUUAACUUCUAAACAUGUUCUAGAAAGCAUAAAGGAAAAUGUGGGGCAAAAAUACUUUUGAACACUUAGAUUUAUUUAUUUGAUUUUAUAUUUUAUUUCAAACAAAAUGUGUGUUUUUAAGAAAGGUGAAAAACUUACAAACGAGCAGUGAGUAUCAUGUAUAUACGUCUAGAAAAGAAAAAGAAAAAGAAAUAUUGAUAGCAAUUUUAGAAAUAAUAAUUAAGUGUAUAUAUAGCAACAUUUAAAAGAAAUACAAAUAUAACAAAAUCUAUCGACAAACUCAUAUAAUAUAUAGGGUGAUAGACCAAUAUUUUUAACAUGGUGUUAGUGAUUAAUUUUUAUUAUUGAUAGACUUUGACAGGUUUUACUAUACUUACAAUUUCUUUAAAAUGUUAUUGUUCAUAUGCUAAUUUUUUAAUUUGAAUCUAAUUGUUAUAUGUGUAACCAUAAAAAAAAAG
rnacentral:lncRNA from 1 species